UUGCCCCCGCUGCCGCCGUUGGGGAUGGUGGAGCCGACGGGGGCCAUGAAGAAGGUGAUGCCGUCAGCGGUGAGGUUGGUGGGGCUGGGUGUGAUUAUGAAGUUUACGGUGGUUUCAAAGUCGACUUGGCCGCCGGCUUGGGAGAACUGGACCGGGUUCGAGUGCAAGACCCGGCCGACACUGCCUAUCGUCGGGAAGGUGAGGCGGAGGAAGGGGGAGUUCCAUACGAAAUGGGCGUGGCCUUGGUAGGUGAGAUCGGUCGGCAAGUCACUCCAGAAGUCGUAGGUGAAGGACGUCGAUUGGGACUGCGCAGUGUUGGCGGCAGCGGCGAGGAGGAGGAUGAUGGAGGAGAGGAGAGGAAUUAGGGUUUGGAGGAGCUUAGCCAUGGCUUAAUUGAGUAUAUUUAGAUGUGGUGGAUGAUGGUGGUAUCUCUUGCUCCUAUUUAUAGUGAAUAGUGUAUAGUGUAUAGAGUAUAGUGUAUAUAUGCAUGAUAUUAUGAUUUAAUUGCCUAUGAAUUAUUAAACUUUCAUCAAAUUCUUAUUUUAUAUAUAAACUUCAAAUUAAAUGUAGCGUGAUAAUCACUAAAUUUAUUUAAUCUUAUAUUUGCUACCAAUCAGGAUUCUAGCCAAAUUUACUAUUGACAUUACAAAGUCGAGGAUAUCCUAAGAUGGAUUGAAACAUUAAGAUAUUCCAAGGAUCUUAAUAAUUUCUAUCAUUUGGCAUAAUUUUAUUUGAUUCAUAUCUCAUUGAAAGAAUAUGAUUUUUAUCCCCUCCGUUCACAAAGAUUGUAUGGUGAACUCAGGACAUGAGUUUUAAUAAAUACUUCUUCCGUCCCCAAAAUAACUUUCUAUGAGAGAGGGGCACGAGUUUUAAGAUAAAAUUGUUGAGUGUAUUCGAAGUGGUUAAAAAGUGUUAGUAUUGAAAGUGAUGAAAAUGUGUUAUAAUUAGUAUUUGAAGUGGUGAAAAGGUAAAAAAAUAGAGUAAAUAUAUGGAGUAUAUAUUAGUAGAAAGUGUAGAAAGAUCCACCAAAAUUGAGUGGAGAAAAAGAUCCACUAAAAUUGAUGUGUUAAAUGGUUGAAUAUUUUGUAAAUAUUGAAUGUGAAUGAUGUUUAAAAUGUAAGGGGCGUAGUUUCUAAAUAAAGAAAGCAUACAAUCUUUAUGGACAGACGAAAAUAAUAAUAAACAUACAAUCUUUGUGGAUUGAGGGAGUGAUAAACAUUUCAUUCAUUUAUUGUGGUUUGGAAUCGAUCUUUAUCAACAUUACAUGCAUUCACAAAUAUGAAGAAGGAUUUAAAACGUGUGACACCUUAUUUUAUAUUUAAAAUCGCAAUCACGAAGAGGACCACACUUAUCCUCUAAUCAAUGCUCUCCAUUAUUUUAUAGGAAAGGAUAAACAUGAUUCUUGGUUUAUUUAUGCUUUUAAUAUAUACAAUUAGAUGAUUUUUGGGGCAAAAAGUGAAGAUUUUGAUGUCCGACGGAGUCAAGUAAAGAAGUUGAAAAAAUCGAUUUUUGAUGCAAUUUUAGAAGAUCCAAAGAUGAUAAGAUCUGUGCUUGAGGGAACUUAUUUUGCAUAAGAAAGACUUUCAUUAAUUUCUUAAUUCGAGUAUAAAAUUAGAGGAUUAAAACCACAACUAAUGUUCCUUUGGCUUUUCCUUGAACAAUGUUGGGUAGCUAGUGAAUUUUCUUUGGUAAGUUCGUCCUUUUCUUUGACAAUGAGAAUUGACGUAAAUUGGAUUGUAUUGAAGAUUCUAGUAACAUUAUUCUAGUUUAUAUUUCAUGAUUUAAGGGCUGAAAAUAUGUAAGUAUGUUAAAGGCUAAAUUUUAGGUAAAUAAGUGCUCCAUACUUUGUUAAUAUGCCACUUUACAAAUAAUGUAUGUGUGAACUUGAAUUUGUUUUUUCAUUUAAAGAGAACUAAUAAUGAUAUCCAUUUCCCCCGUGAUGAUUCGAACCCCCAACUUAACAAUUACUGGUGAAACGUUUUAUCCAUGUGAUGACUCUAACCCCCCAAUUUAUAAUUAAUGAUUGGAUGGGAAGCGUAUUGAGGUUGUUAGUGAUUCUUCCAAGGUUAUUUUGUAACUAUGAACUAUCGAUUUUGUAUCAAUUGUACCCUGCAUUUGUUUUUUAGCUAGAGAAAAUAUGAGAAAAGAAAUGAGACAUUUAAAGGCAUAAAUUUUUGUUAUCCCUCAUUUUCUCAUCCAUCAAAGUGAACGCACCCUUAAAUGAUGAUUUGAAAAAAUAAAGUGAUUGUUUCUACGCUAAACCUAAUUGCGUUCGGCCUUUUUCGUUAUUUUAGUAUUUUCCUCAUUUAUUUUCAAUUCUGUUUCCUAUAUAUGGAUAUUUGAUGUAUGAGAAGAUGCUUUCAUAUGAUCCAUUUCAGAAAUAAAAUUAUUUAUUUUCUUUCUCACGAAGAGCGCUCACUUUGACAUCAGUAUCGCAUGAGCUGCACAUAAUUAAUGAAAGAAAAUAAGCAUACACUUGCAUUAUAUAAGAAGAGCAUAUAUACUCGCAGCCGUUUCUCAUAAAUUUCACGCAGUUUUUCGAUCUUUAGAGCCGCCGGCAUGCUCGGCCGAUCUGAAGCUCCAGUAGUCGAUAUCGUGAAGGGCGACGAGGUCGCCGGUGGAGGAGGCGAUUCCGACCUGAACCUGCGACGGAAGAAUUUCCCCCAAAUCAUACUCGUAUUCGAGAAGGCGAGUUUCUUUGUCGCAUUUGAGCGUAACGUCGAUGAAAUUGAUGCCGUCGUAUUGUAUGUGCAGCUGCGCCUCUUUCCCGAUGCACGAAUCGCCAAAUUUCACGAAGUUGCUCGACUUUAUCGAGCUGAUGUCGAUGCCGAUGUGCGGGAGAUCGUGGCUCGGAUCCCAACCGUUGGAGUAGAGGUCGAAUUCCACGGCAAAGAAGGCGGAGGCGGCCGGGCUAUCCCCCGAGGGGUUGAAUAGGCCUAGAUUGCCUCCGUAGGAACCCGGGGGGAUGGUGGUCCCCACGGGCGCCAUGAAGAAGGCGAUGCCGUCCGCGGCCGGGCCUUUUGUGGGGGUGAUGGUGAAUUUUAUGGUGGUAUUGAAAGAUACUACAAUUGAAUUUUCCCACAAUUUGAAGGGUUUGGAGUACAAUACGCGGCCGAUGCUCGACGGCCGUGGAAGGCCGUUGGCGUCGGUCUUGGUUAGCCGGAGGGAACGGGCGCCGUCGGGGACGUGGGCGUCGCCCUGGUAGGUUAGGUCGGUGGAGUUGGCGACGAAGGAGGUGAAGGUGAAGGAGGUCUUUUGUGAGGUCGCCUUGUUUGCUAGCAUUAGGAAAAAUGCUAUGCAAAAGAGGAGAAGAAUUAGGGUUUGUAGAAGCUUGGCCAUGGCUUGAUUUGAUGGGUGGAGUAUUAUUUGGAUGUAGUGAAUAGUGGUUGGCUCUCUAGCCCUAUUUAUAUUGGUUUAAUGCCACAUUCCAUUAUUAGUUUAAUAUAUUGUAGCUCACUAUUUUUUUUGAACUUUAUGGAGAAGGCAUGAGUUUUUUAAAAAAAUUGAGAAAUGUGUAUAAAAUGAAUAAAGAGGCUCACUAAAGUUGAUUUGGCAGGUAUUAAUAAAUUAUUUGUGUGAUGAGUUUUUUGUAAAUAUUGUGUGUGAAUGAGGGUAAAAUAUAAAGGUACAUAUGUCUUAAAAGGGACGGAAAUGACAAAUACUUAUUGUGGAUAAAGGUAGUAUAAUAUACGGAGUGUAUACUUAAGUUUAUCAAUUUUAUUACUAAAUUAAAUAUGGUUAAUUUAAUAUCAAUAUGCUUAUUAGUAAUUAGUAUUACUCCAUUCAUCCCAAAAACAUCAAUCUUUACUUAUUUUUUCGUUCGUCUCCAAAACAUCUUCCUAAUCUAUUUUUAUGUCCUGUAUUAAAUUUUCAAGCUAGUUUCACUCCCCAACUAUCGUUUAAAUUAUACAUACAUAUAUGGACGACUUGAAAAUUUGUUAAGGCAAUUGAUUAUGCCCAUGCCGUAUAGAAUCAAAAACCAUUCCUAAACAAAAAAUAGAAUAAUUAAGAAAAUAAUCUAGAAUAUAAAUAUAGAACUUAAAUUCUUUGCCACAAAUUUAAGUCAAUCAGCCGACAUAGUAAAUGUAUGUGUUUACAAGUAAUCAUGCCUUGUCUUGAGAUUCAAGUUGGCAAUUGAAGCAAAAUUUCUCACACAUAGCUAUCUACUCUAGCUAUGAAAUCAUGCAUUGUCUUGAGAUUUAAUUUGGCCCAUGAAUCCAAAUUUUGCAAUCAUGCCAUGUCUUAAGAUUCAAUUUGGCCCAUGAAACUAAAUUUCUUGAGCCUAUCUCUAACCUCUUUGAUAUUCAUAUAUAAUAACACCUUUAAAACACACACAACCCACUUCUAAAGUUCUACAUGUAUACACACGAACUCAUGCUUAUGUCACAAAUUAAGUUUUUCAAAAAUAAACUUUUCCCUAUUUGAAUUCCUUAUGUAUUCAGUUUGUUUUUAAUAUUUAAACUAUGUUAUUACAACAAAAUUAUCUAGCAGGGACAUGAUUUUAGCAACAUAAAAAAAGAUGUCAUAAAUUUCUUACUCCCUCCGUCCUCCGAAGCUUGAUCAACAAUUUCUUUUCGGCACGGAGUUUAAGGAGUUAAUAUUUUGUAUGUUAAUUAGUGUGGUAGGUGAAAAAAUGAAAAGAUGAAUAACGGGAAAAGUUGUUGCCAUAUAAGGAAAGUGAUCAAGCUUCGCGGAUAACCCAAAAAUGAAUACUGCUCAAGAUUCGCUGGAAGAAUGAAGUACAAUUUUAGGCAUAACAAAAAUUUAUUUACAUCCACACAUGCAUGCACCGAUACUUUAUCACAUGCAAAAUUACAAGUAACUUUGCUAAUUACAAAAAUUAAUACAUGAACCCUCAAAUGUCACUAGAUGUAAUGAUAUUUUUAUAUUUUUUCGACACACAUAAUAGUUACUCAUCACAAAAUAUCAAUAUUUUUAUCAUAUAGUGAUAUUUAUAAGUUUCACAAUUUUUCAAAUAUUAUGUCAAUGCUAGCUUAGACAUUUUGUUUUGACACUUUGUAUUGAAACAUGUUUUUUACAAAAAUAAAAUAAUUGAAUUUAUUAACGAAUAUUUAAACAAUCAAUCAAUAAUAACUACAAAGUGAAGCAAUUCAAGUUAAAAGGUAAAUUCUAAAUUUAAAUUUGAAAAACAAGAAAAUUCGAGCCUUAAUUUUUUUUAUUUUUUUAUAUACGCACUACAAAUCUCCCAUAAAUCUUAAAUCAAAAUUUAACCUUACAACAAAAAAUAAAUAUAUAAACUAAAAUGGAGUAUGAUAAUAUAGUUUUAUCAAAUUAUUUGAUAAUUCUAUUAAUAAAAGAUAAAAAAAAAAAUAAGGGGGGCCCACGGGCAUGCUGCCCCCAUAUGCUAUGGACCAUGGUGGCUAGGUCACUGCGCUCUCGAGAUCUACACUAUUUAUACGUGGUAUUCAUUGCGAAUUAUUUUGCAUUAUCUUUGUUUAUUUUUCUUAUAUUGGGAAAGAAAACAUGAGUAAUAUAUAGUAAUCUUUUAGAAGUCCAGUUACCAAUGUCGUCAAAAUUAUCUUGUCUAUUUUUAGAAGUUCAGAUAAACAUGCAACACAUUUUCAGAAGAAAUUUAAUAAUCUCUUACGAUUUACAUUUAUUUUUUAAAUAAUUAUCUCAGUGGUGAUAAAAUAAAAAAAUCGACUACAUUUUUCUAAGUAAUUUAUUAGAUACAAAAUAUUAUGAUUUAUGUUUGUAUAUUUUUUGUUUCCCAUUAGUGCAUUAUCAUUUCUAAGUAUCUUCUCACUUGUUCACUGAUUCACUAUUGGAUUAACAUGAAUAUACGAAUUUCAUAGUAUACCAACUGUUCGAUAAAAGUCCUAAAAGAAAUCUUCCAUAGAUAACCUUGCAAAUAACAGGAAACUAAAAUUACUCCCAAAGCAUUCCAUACAUAGAGAUGCGGAUUACCUUAUUCGUAGACUUAACGAGAGUACACUCGAUCGCUAGUCCUUAUUUACGACCCAAACUACACAUACAUUACAAAAUCACACAACUUGACGAAUGUUUCCACCGAGCUCCUUCCUGCUCUUGGCAGCGACGCCGACGUUUUGCACCAUGGUGGCCGUGAAAUACCACGCCACGAUGUCGUGUCUGGCGACGACUUGCCCCGUGGAGGCGGAGAGCCCGACUUGGACCUGCUCAGGAAGGAAGCCGCUCAAAUCGUACACAUAGCUGACCUCGAACGCUUUCGAGCCGGCGGUGACGUGGACGUCGAUCAUCUUCGUGGCGGCGGCGUAGUUGAUCCUUGCCGUCACCUGCUGCCCGAUUAUGGAGCCGUCGACCUCCGUCGUGUUGCCGGAUGACCUAGAGCCGAUGUCGAUGCCGAUGUGGGGAUAGUUCGGAUCCCACGCGCCGUUGACGUAGGUGUCGAACUCGACGGCGAAGACCGAGGGGCUGCUGCCGGAGGAGCCGAAGAUUCCGAGGUUGGAUCCGCUAGAGGAGGAAGGGAUGGUGGACCCGACGGGGGCGAUGAAGAAGGCGAGGCCGUCGGCGGCAGAGUUGCCGGGGCCAGGUGUGAUGAUGAAGUUUACGGUGGUUUCAAAGUCGACUUGGCCGCCGGUUUGUGAGAACUGGACCGGGUUCGAGUACAAUACCCGGCCAACUUUGGCGGUCUGUGCGUCGGUGAGGCGGAGGAAGGUGGAGUCCGACGGGAAAUGGGCGUCGCCUUGGUAGGUGAGGUCGGUCGGCUGGUCGCCCCAGAAGUCGUAGGUGAAGGACGUCGAUUGGGACUGCGCCACGUUGGCGGCGGCGAGGAGUAGGGCGACGGAGGAGAGGAGAGGAAUUAGGGUUUGGAGAAGCUUGGCCAUUGCUUAAUUGAUUUGGAUGUGGUGGAUGAUGGUGAUAUGUCUUAAGCUUGCACUCCUAUAUAUACUAGUGUAGUUCAUGCAUGAUAAUGUUGUUUAAUCAUCAUAUAUUUUAUUUCAUUAAAAUGAAUCACCUCGUCCAUUCGAGGUAAAUGAACCAUGUGAUCUUAUGUACUACCAGCCACAUUUUAAUUUGCUCGUUGGAAUAUUAUCUAUAGUUGUAUCUAUUGUAUUUGUAUAAAUGAUUUUUGGAAGGGAACUUAGAAAAAGUUCUUGAUAGGGGCUGUAUUUUUUAAUUUCAAGUGCAAAAUUAAGUUUUGAUAGACAAUUUACUUAUGAUUCAAUUUAACGAUCGGGUUUUCUGAAAAAAAAAAAUUCACACAAAAAAUCGAUUAUUUAAUAAUUUUAUAAGAAAAAAGAAGAAGAAGAAAUUUUCUAUUUAGGAUAUACACGAGCAGAUGAGAUCCUCUGUCCCACUAUUUUGUGUGUACCACCAUGUACCAUUCUUAAUUUAUUUAUUUUAGUAAUUAUUUUUUAUAAAAAUAAAAAUUAUUAUUAUAUUUUUUAUUUUCAUUUAAGUGAGUUACUAGAUUUAUUUGGGGUGAGCACAGGUUAUUUUGGAAAAGGAGAAUAUCUGUAAGAUGAUGUGAAAAUUAUUCAAUAUAAGCACAUAUAGGGGUUGAGUUCUCAAAGGAACUUAAUUAAUAUCCAAUGUGAUUGAUACAUUUCGACUAAAUGGAUGGACUGUGACGCCCCGACCAAAAGUAAAGAGUGAUUGUGAUCGGUGCACAAGGCAUGGAUGAAAAGCGGUUCCUAGUAAUGCUUCGAUACGGAGGAUACAUGAAUGAAUCGAAACACACCAGAAAGAGAGGGAUUCCAUGAGUACGUACGCAGGUAUAUGACUGCAUAUUCGAGGAGCUUAAAUAAUUUUAUUGGUGUUACUCAUAUCAACAAGAUGCAUCUUCUUUUUUGGUGACCAUAUGAAAUAAACUCCAAGGUUAAGCGUGCUUGGCGUAGAGCAACUUGAUGAUUGGUGACCUCCCUAAGAAGUUUAUCAGAAAGCGUGCUAGUAAGAACAAAACAUGCUAGAAAAGACUCAUAUUAGUCUGUGGGGACAGCCGUUAAAUUUGGAUUCGGGUCUUUACAAGUGGCAUUAGAGAUUAACCUCUCACAGUAUGGUGCGGUUCGGGAACGAACCAAGCGGAAGUUGGUACUCAAUAUUCCAUCUAUUGUGAGUUUCUUUGUCUUCUUCAUCUUUCUUUUACUCUGCUGUCGAGUUUCAGAGAGUAAUCAGAUAGGUUUUCAUUCGAGUUGAGUUUCUUGAGUGAUAAACUGUUAAUUGUGAGUUUCAUUCGAUCAUUUGUUGAUUAUAAAUAUCUGCACAUGGAUAUUGGUCAAUUUAGAUACACUGAUCUUCAAAUUGAUUGACGAAUCUUUAGAAUUCAAAAUUUAAAUCAAAUACGCGUGUUCAUAGUUAAUUGGUAAGUACACUUUUUUUUNAUAUAAAUAUAAUUGACUCGAGAUCUCUGCUACUUACGCAUACUUCGCUCGAGACAAAAAUAAAUAAUUGAUCAUUGAGAACUCCGCUACCACACCAUACUCGUGUACUAUUUAUCAUUGUUUAUGAUUAUUAAUAAAGACGUGUCUUUGCCUGAUAAAUUUAAUUUUCAUACUCUUGAUUCUUUUUUGGCCAUAUCAUUUUUUAAAAAAUUGGGAGGGGAAUGGUGGAAAUUGAAUAUGAAAAAUACCAGUCAAAUGAUACAUGUGCACUUUCAAAGACAAAACAUAAAUGUAACCUUCGUUUGUAAAACAUAGAAAUUCUACCAUAUAUUUGUGAUUAUUUUACCUUUAUACGAUCUAUUUAUAUAUAUUUAUUAGAAUUAAUAAAAAUAUACUACAUUCGUCCACGAAAAAGAAUCUCAUUGUGUGCUGGAUGUGAGUCGUAUCGAGAGUGAGAGGGAACACAUUGUCUCCGGUCUCUGCCGUCUUGGCGAGAUCUUCGGCAUUGGCCUGAUCCGGCCGCUGAGGUGGCCGGUAGGUCAUCCAUGGAGUAUGGCUAUAUUCAUACUCGUAUCCCAUUUUGGUUGUAGAACAAGAAGGCGGUGUUGUUGAAAUCGUCGUCGUUGAUAUCCUUUGGAAAACCGGCUGGGAUAGUUUUCGCCAUUAGAGUGAUGUGCGUAGAAGAGAGGAUCUUCCGGCGGUCUUCGCGGAAACCGUUGUCGCGUGUCCAUAGUUCAUGGAUUGAAAAUAUGCAGGUAAAGCACCCGGCGUACUCGGCCAUACAAUUAACUCGCCAUCAUGAGCUAUAAUUCUAUUCGAGUAAGUUCAAUCUCUAAUGAAUUAAUAUAUUUUUAUAAAUAUAUAAUUUGCAAAAUAACCUUAAAAUAAAAUAUGUAAUAAGGGUAAAAUAGGCAAUCCACAUGUUGUGCUCAAUGCUCUUUUUAUAUUACUAGGAGAAAGAUAAUUAAUGUUAUUUUAUCUAAUAAAAUAAAAAAUAUAAAUAUAAUAUUUAUUAUAUUUAAAUUUUUAAUUAACAAUUUUGUUUAUUUAAUUCUCUUAUCUCUUACAAUAUUUUUUUUUAGAAAAUCUAUUAGUUCAUUACUUCGACUAAAUAUAAUUUAUUGGAUAGAUAUAUUUAUUUAUAAGCCUUAUCAAUAGCUAUAGAUAUAUAUUACAUAGAUUUAAUGUAAUAUUUAAUGAAUCAAUAGCUCUUUUCUUUUAUAUUAGUAUAGAUUAUAUAGAUAGAUAUAUAUAGUGCAUGCAUGAUAAUGUUGAUUGAUCAUCGUAACUAUAUAAUUUAUUGCACUAAUAAUGAAUCACGUUCCCACUCGAGGUAUAUAAAAUGAAUCAUGUGACCUUUUCUACUACCCGACACAUUUUGCUCCUUGGAAUAUUAUUUAUAAUUGUGUCUAUUGUAUAGUGCAUGCAUGAUAAUGUUGUUUAAUCAUCAUAAAUCUUCAUGGCUCAUCCACCUCAUCCAAUCGAAGCAUAUAAUGAACCAUGUGAUCAUAUCUACUACCUGACACAUUUUGCUUCUUGGAAUGCUAGCUAUAAUUGUAUCUAUUGUGUGAAUGUAAGCAAAAGGGCGCGCACAAUUUUUUAUUUUUUUUUGGAUAGGUGACUCGCUCAAAAUACCUAUUGAAUUGACUCGUAAUCGCACGAGGUCAUUCUAGCGUAGUAAGCUAACCCAUGUCGUAUCUCACAAGGAAGAUUAAGCAGGACGACUAAUUUUGGAUUAUUUUUAAUCAAAUGUUGGAUAUUUUUUAAUUAGAGUAAAAUUAAAAUAAGUAAAUUAUUGUAUAUUUUCAGAUUCGGAAACUAAUGGCUUUAUUUUAAUUUAAUCAUUUUCAUAUGUCAGUUAUAUUAUGUAAAUGACGUUUUUAGUAACAAACAAAUGACAUUUUAAUCAAUAAAUGAUACUUUUAUCAAUAAUAAAUGAAACCAUAUUAAGGUAAAUAGGGUAAAGGUUAGACUUAACUGUGAAAGCAUCAUGAGUUUUAUGUGUAACAUUUUCGGUGUGAAAAUUGAUGAGUUAAAAAAAAUGCUCCAUAUUGAAUUCGACAUUAGAUGAAUCUACAGUAGAUUUUCAUGCAUGAUCUAAGAGCUGAAAAUGAUUCACGGUCUAUAUUUAUUCUAUCAAAUUCCAUAUCACUUUAAAUCUCAAAUUACAUUUGCACUAUAUAUGAUUAUAUCCUAAAUUAUCAUAAAUAUGAACCGCUUAAAUCUGGCGUCGUUGCACCGCGGACAUCUUGCCGCUGCUUUCUCCCACCAUUGCCCUUGCUGCCCUCAUCUUAGGUGCCAAUUUUUUGCUCGUCGUGCAGAAUUUGAAAGGGGUAAAUUAUUUUUUCAAUUUUUUAUUGCAUUUUGCUGUCUAAGUUGAUUUCUCAAGUAAAGUGGACUUGGGUUUUGUUUCGAUUAUAGCUGAAUUCGAUGGCGCUGUGUGGUUAGAUCUGUAAUUUUGACGUGUUGUUGAAGUGUGCGGGAUUGAAUGUGAUCUGGGAGAAUUUAAGGGUUUUGGGACGUUAGUAUGAUGAUGGUGGGAUUUGAAUGAAUUUGAAUACCAGAUUAUGGUUGAUGUUUAAUUAUGUGAAUCUUGCGAUCUGUGUUGAAAUUAAUGUACAGUAUCUUCGCCUAGCCGGGGGUUCACCAUUUGGUUCCCGACCGUCCUGCUGCCUUCACUCCACACUCAAGUGCCAAUAUCUUCUUCUCGUUUCUCUUCCUUCUUCUUCUCCUCUUAGUACCUGCAAGACAGAAGGAAAAACCAGCAAGUAUAAAGAAAAAUCAGAAAACUUAAAGAAGUAAAGAAAGAAAGAAAACAAAGGAAACUCGAGGUGGGAAAAAGGUGUCCUCGGGACACAGGUGGCUCAGAUUUUUCCCACAGUGGCAACACACUCCGGCAGCUCAAAGACCACGGCACAAAGGGGAAGGGAAGUCAGAUCGGAGCUCAAAUCUGACGAGCACAGCCACCAAUAAUCAGGAAUCCGGUGGACAGGAUUCCGGCGGCUCAGAAAUCCUUCGCUUUAUCACCAAACAGGAAAUCUAAGGUCAGCAAUCCGACAAUAAUGCUAUCAACAGGAGGAAGCUCUCACUUUACGGCCACAACACCGGAAACCAGAACGGAAACCAGAGAACAGAAGGAAUAGCAGAGCCUUCAAGGUUGUGAACAUACUACAGAACUUCCCCCAAUCGAUUGCUUUAUAACCGAGACAGAGAAGGGUCGGGAAGAUGUAGUGGGCUUUGGGAAGGAGGAGGAAGCCAUUAAUGGUGGUGGAGCUCGAGGGAAAGCGAGAUCAGCAGUCGUGAAGACUUAGGGUUUGGGAGGGGAUUUGAGGUGGAGCGGCGGAGGUUGAAAUGAGGGAAAGGCCGAGUGAGAGAGGGAGUAUUUCAGUGGAUAAUGGGCUAGGGUAUUUUUGAGUUAACGGGCUAUAGGUGUCUGGGCCCAAAAGUUGGGCCAGAGAAGGGAUAAAGAGCAUUGGGCCAACAUUCCACAAUUAAGACAAUUAAGAGUAGAAAUUCUUCUUGAUUUGCUAAUUUAUUUAGGAUUAGCGAUAUUAGUUUGGAGUUUUAGAUGUCGAUUGAUUUCGUGAUCUUGAUUUAUGUGAUAAAUGCCUCUCAUCACUAAGAUUUGGAAUAUAUUGGAUAUCUAGGAUAGUGAUAUUAGUUUGGAGUUUUAGAUGUUGAUGUGUCUUUUUAGGCUGCGUUUACUUUGAUGGAUAAAUUUAUAUAUGGAAAAGGAUGGAUAACACAAAUUUAUGCUUUUAAAUGUCUCCUUCCUCUUCCAACAUUUGACACAAAAAGAGAUGCUCGCUAUUUUUUCUUCCUUAUCUUCACUUCAAGGAUGGAUAAUAUUAUCCCUCCAUUUUGGUGUGAUAAUAUUAUCCAUCAUUGAAGUGAAGAUAAGGAAGGAAAAAUAGUAGAGCAUCUCUUUUUGUGUCAAAUGUUGGAAAAGGAAAGAGACAUUUAAAGGCAUGAAUUUGUGUUAUUCAUCAUUUUCCAUAGAUAAAUUUAUCCAUCAAAGUAUACGAAGCCUUAUGUGAUAAAUGCUUUUUUAGGGGGGCCCACGGGCAUGCUGCCCCAUAUGCUAUGGAGUAUGGACCAUGGUGGCUCGGUCACUGCGCUCUCGAUUGCGAAUUAUUUUGCAUUAUCUUUGUUUGUUUUUCUUAUAUUGGGAAAGAAAACAUAGAGUAAUAUAUAUUUUAGAAGUCCAGUUACCAAUGUCGUCAAUCUCGAGUGAAAAUAAAUAUUACCAUAACACAAAAAUGACAAAGCUAUUGAUUAGUGACGAUAUGUUAGAAGUUCAGAUAAACAACACAUUUAUUCUUGUGUAUAUUAUAUUAACGUUUAUUAUAUAUUAUAAAAAGAACAUAUUCUUUCAAAAUUAUCUUGUCUAUUUUUAGAAGUUCAGAUAAACAACACAUUUUCAGAAGAAAUUUAAUAAUCUCUUACGAUUUACAUAUAAUUUUUAAAUAAUUAAUUAUCUCAGUGGUGAUAAAAUAAAAAAACGAAGUAAUUUAUUAUAUACAAAAUAUUAUGAUUUAUGUUUGUAUAUUAUUUGUUUCCAUUAGUGCAUUAUCAUUUCUAAGUAUCUUCUCACUUGUUCACUGAUUCACUAUUGGAUUAACAUGAAUAUACGAAUUUCAUAGUAUACCAACCGUUCGAUAAAAGUCCUCAAAGAAAUCUUCCAUAGAUAACCUUGCAAAAGUACGUGUAUCUAUAUUAAUAGAAUAAGAGCCUAAGGAAUCUUAAAACACAAUUUUUGGAUUGCCUAUUUUACCACUAUUAUAUAUUAUUUUAAAAUUAUUUUACAUAUUAUAUAUUAAUAGGAAUAUAUUAAUUCAUUAGAUAUUACACUAAAUCUAUGUGAUAUAUUUCUAUAGCUAUUGAUAAGGCUUAUAAAUAAAUAUAUAUCCAUCUAAUAAAUUAUCUAAUAAAAGUAAUGAAUUAAUAGAUUUUUUAAAAUAAUAAAUUAUCAAAUAAAAUAACAUUAAUUACACACGUACGUUCUUUCUGCUAGCUAGUUAAAUAAAAAGAAGAAGAAACUGAGACUGAAAAAGGGAGAAUUAAGAUAGUCCAUUAUUAUCGUCUUAUUUUUAGAACUUAAACGAGAGAAAAGUCCAUCGCUAGUCCUAAUUUACAACACAACACAACACAUGAUAAUAAAUUUAAAUCACACAUAUUGCCGGAUGUACCCUUCCUCCUCUUUGCCGGCGGCGGCAUGCACGAGGGUGGACGUGAAAUACCACGAGACGAUGUCGUGCACGGCGUCUUGGCCUCCGGUGGCCGCGGAGAUCCCGACCUGAACCUGCUGAGGAAGAAUGGCGCUCAGGUCGUACACAUAGCUCACCUCGUAUGUUUGCGAGCCGGCGGCGAGGCUCACGCUGAUCAGCUUAGUGGCUUCCAGGUAGUUGAUGCGCGCAGUCACCUGCUGCCCGAGCAACGCGUUGCCGACGUUGGUCACGUUUUUGGAAACAUUAGAUUCGAUGUCGAUCCCGAUAUGGCGAUAGCUAGGAUCCACUCCGGGGUUGGAGAAGACGUCGAAUUCCACGGCGAAGACGGCGGGGCCGACGCCGGAGGAGUUGAAGAUUCCGAAGCAGCCGCCGGUGAAGCCGAGGGGUAAGCCGACGGGGGCGAUGAAGAAGGUCACGCCGUCGGCGGGGUUCGUGUCGCCUGCGUUGGGGGUUACGGCGAACGUCAGGGUGGUCUCGAAGUCGACCUGCGCGCCGGCCUCCCAGAACGUGAUCGGGGCUGAGUACACGGCCCGGCCGACGCUGUACUGGACCGCGCUGCCGGAGCUGGUGGUGUUGGUCAUGCGGAGGAAGGUGGAGUCCGACGGGAAGUGGGCGUCGCCUUGGUAGAGGAGAUCGGUCGGCUGGUCGCCCCAGAAGUCGUACGUGAAGGCUGUCGAUUGGGACUGCAUGCGCCGUGUUGGCGGCGGUGGCGAGGAGGAGGGCGAUGGAGAUUAGGGUUUGGAGAAGCUUGGCCAUGGCUUAAUUGAGUUAGUAGUAUUUGCUUUGGAUGUGGUGUGAUGAUGGUGUAUUGGUGUUAACUCUUGCUCCUAUUUAUGCUAGUAUAGUGCUUGAAUGAAAAUGUUAUUUAAAUUAACAUCAUAUUUUUUAUUACACAAAAAUGACUCACCCCAUCUUCUCGAGAUUAACUGAACUUGUGAUCUCUAAUAAUUUAUAACCUACCACAUUGUAGUUGUUGGAGUAUACUCCCUCUGUCCCGGUUUUAGCACGAGUUUUAAUAAAUUGGUUGAUUGUAUUAUGAGUAGAAUAAGGAUAAUAUUUUUUAUGGAAGUGUUAAAAUAAUUAAAAUUGAGAAAAUGUUUCACCUAUUUUUAUUAAAAAUAGAAAUGAAUUUUAAAAUAUGGGACGACGGCCAGAAAAAGAAAAUAUAUAUGGAUACUAAAAGUUGGGACGGAGUGAGUAUUAUCUAUAGUGGUAUCUAUUGUAUGAGUACAAGAGAUUUACUUGACUUGUUGAGGUAUGGAGAGAUUAUUACAAACCACGUGAAAUUGAGUUCUUGCUCCCACUGUAAAAGCAAUAAAUAUAGGGAAAAGAAAAUUAAUACUUCCUUCGUCCAAGAAAUGAGUACACAUAUUUCUUUUUUAGUCCGUUCAUGAAAUGAGUACUCAUUAAUUUUUCUUUUUAUCAAGUGUACCUCACACAACCCUUUAAUUAAUUAAUACCUUUAAAAAGUGGGUCCCUUAUUCCACUAACACCACACUCAAUCAUUUCUUAAAACCUGUAACGUCCCCAAAUGAGAUUCAUUUCGUGGAUUGAGUAAAUUCUAUACUACAAAUUAAUGGUUCGAAUUCACUUUAAAAAAUAAACUACAAUUAAGAGUCCCUCUCUUAAUUGGAAUUCAUAGACCAUCUGCUUCAGUCGUGCCCGAAGACAGAAAAGGUUUGGAUUGGAAUUCAUAGGUGGCUAGGGAAUAAAAGCAGUGUGGCCUCAAUCAUUGAAGCACACUUCGAUUUGUUCACAAAUCUUGACAAAGGAAAGGAAGGUCGAUUUUUCUAGCGACAGUAUGGGUCUAUACCAUUUGGUUGCUGUGGAAAUGACGUAACGAGAGCAGAUUUGAGGGCAAGACUUGGGAGAUCAAUGACGUGAUCGAAGAAGUGAAAGUGAGGAUGUGGAGUUGGAACAAGAUUUUUGGACUACAUGUUAAAGAGAUUAGCUCUCAAUCUUGGUUUUCUUGUGAAACUCCUCUUGUUUUGUGUAAUUUGGUCGUAUCUCUGGUACCAAACUCUCUCCUAAUAAAAUUUCUUUUCUGAUUAAAAAAAAAAAAAAGAGUCCCUCUCUUAAUCAAGUAGACUGGAUGCGGUAAGAGAGAAAUCACUUCCAACUUAUCGAUUUUACUAGCAACAACUAGAUUUAUACUGAAGCUAAAUUGGAUCAGACUCUAGGAUUCACUAGUCUUUUACUCAAGGUGAGUCGGUUUACGAGUCUCAAACUCAAGGUGAACUAGAAUGUCUGUCAAUACGAACGUUGGGAGUUCGAGGGUUUUUUAGGACAGUAACUUAGAUUGAUUUGGAAAUUAGGACAAUAACUUUCGGACUUGUAAAAAUAGGACUCUAAUUCUUUUUAAGAGUAAAAUAGGACACUAAUUAAUAAGUGUUACAUCCGCAGGACAUUUUUCGGCCAAUUAUCGGCCGAGAAAUGUCCUACUUUUACGACGCUUAUUAAUUAGUGUCCUAUUUUUACAAAUUCGAAAGUUUUGUCUUAAUUUUCAAAUCAACAUAAGUUAUUGUCCUAAAAAAUCCCCUGACUCCGAACGUUGGAACAAGCUCGGCAAUAUACUGCUAUUCAACAUUAAUGGCACUUUGCACUAAAUGAAUUGGUGUCGAAUUAAUACAUCGUCUUGCUGCUCAUAUCUAUAUAAUAAAUGCAUACCUGCACCUCGAUAUUAAUCAAUUUAGAUACACUAAAUCUCGGAUAUACUUAACAAAUGGAUUAAUAAAUGUAUAAAUUUUAGAUUUCAGAAAAUCAAAUACAGGUGUUCAUAAGGAAAUGAUUAAAAACCCGUGUGUCAUUUAGAUAAGAUUAUUAUAGUACAGUUAACGAUGGUGAAAUAUUCUUUUACAUUAGAUAUAAUAGCAUUCCAGAUCUCAAUGGCAUUUUUUGUUAUAACAAAAAAAAAUUGUAUAUGUUCCAUACUAUCCUCAAACUUCAAAUUAUUAUUUUUCUUUAUUUUAAAAUUUGUAUUGGCACAUAUCUGUCAAUUAAUCAAAUUCAUAUCAAAACAAUAAUUCGAAUGAUAUAUUAGUUGGCUAGCUAUAAAUUACAAAUUAUUAGUGAUUAGGCAUGUUUUACACAAAUUAUUAGCCCAAACAACAUUUGAUUGUGUGCAAUGCACACACUUACUAAAAGCAGAUGUGAUCAUCUGUCCCACAAUUUAGUGUGUAUCACCGUGUACCAUUCUUAAUUUGUCUAUUUUAUAAUUAUUUGUUGUAAAAAUAAAAAAAAUAUUGUUAUAUUAUGAACUCUAAUUAAAAUUUAUAACUAAAAAUAAAAAUUAAAAAAAAUUAUAUACCCUAACUUUGAAUUAAUUAACCCAAAUAAUCAAUUAUUAAUUCAAAUAAAUAUAAAAAAUAAUUAUAAACUCUAAUUGAAUGAGUGAACCCUUAUUAAUUAGUUUCUUAUUAUAUUAUAAUAAAUUAAAAUUGAAGAAAAUAUAAUUAUAUAUUAUAAUAAAUUAAGAGUGGUACACGGUGGUACACACUAAAUUGUGGGACAGAUCCAUGUGCACUAAAUUAUAGGUACGGAGGUGCGGAUGCGGGGGCGAUACGAUACGAGUACGGGGAUACGGGUUCUAAAAAAUUAUAGGGUGCGAUUCGGCAAGGAUACAUCUAAUUAUUAAAAUUUUAUGAUAUACUAAUUGUUAGAAAUGGAUAUUGGGCCAAUUCCUCCCUUAAAAGGCCUUAUAAGGGAGAGGGUUACCUCACCAUAUAAAGUGGCUCAUGCCACUAUCUCCAAUCCAAUGUGGGACACUUCAAUACUAAUGCUUAUAAAAUAUAUACAAUUUAAAUUUUCUUAAAUUAAUUAUAUGUAAUUUACAUUUUAUUUUACCCAAAAGUUAAGCAUUUUCAAUUAUAUAAGUUAAUUGAGCAACAAUAUAACGAUUCAAAUAUUAUUAGUCCAAUAUAUAAGUCAUAACUGAAAAUAAAAUUAUCAAAAUAACCUUGUGUAGGCCUUUCGUGCACGAGAUACGUGAAUUUCGCCUAUGGAAUUUGCAAAUCCGGUUUAUUUUUAUAAAUUGUUUUAAAAGAUACGCACUGGUGAAUCGGUGCGAAUCCGACAAGAAUUCGAGAAAUCACACCCUAAAAGAAUCCGAUUCGCCGUACAUCUAAUUUUUGAAGAAUCCGUGCAUCAUAGGUGAGAAGAAACACAAGAGAGUAAAAUGGUACAUAAUGUAGAAAGACUUUUCUCCAAAAUAAAUGUUACAGUCUUCUAAUAGUCGAAAGGCGCAUGAAAAUGCGCAGUUAUUCGAAAGAAAGGAAAGGCUUAUUCAGCCACACAAUGACAUGGAAUUCGAAUUGAAAUUGAAAUUCAGACAAAUCCCAAACACGGUGAUGCAGAGAUCAAGCGGUAACACGAGGAAUGAUCUUAAUACCACCGAUGGUAACUUCGUCGCCGUUAAUGUGGGGAACGAUGGUGACGACAAUGAAAUCAUCAUCAGCAAUAUUGAUGUUCUCAUAGAGCUCCCUCAAGUUCAAGCGAAGGUCGUUGGCGCUUUCCGCAGCCCUAACCCUAUGCGGAAUCUGCGUGAAACUGCCGGCGAACUCGGCCCUGGCGAGGUCCUCUGGCUUGUCGUCUUCGUCAUUCACGAACACAUCGAACCUCACGAGCUUCGAACUAUCGGUGAUUAUGUUCUCCAGCACGAGCACUUCGUCGGCUUUGCCUUUGGUUGGUUUGGGCACCAAAACCCUGUGAGUCUUGUUGAGAGUGAGAGGGAACAGAUUGUCUCCACUCUCUGCCCUCUUGGAGAGAUCUUCGAUAUUCACCGGCACCUCCCUCCGCGGUGGCCGGUAGGCUGUCCACGGAGUUUCGCUGUGUUCAUACACGUAUCCCAUUUUGGUGUGGUCCAAGCAGUCGGCCACCUUGACGCGCACGAGGUUCUUCUUCUCGUCGUAGAACAUGAACGCCGCGUUGUUGAAAUCGUCGGGGUUGGGGACGACGAGGUCGUUGAUAUCCUUGGGGAAAACGGAUGGGAUAGUUUUCCAUAUGGUCCACAUUCUGUCGACGUUAGCGUGAUGUGCGUAGAAGAGAGGGUCUCUUCCGGCGGAGUAGAAGUUCCCCAUGUCUUCGCGGAAAUCGUUGGCGGGGUUUCCGGUCCAGACGUGGACGCCGCCGUGUGAGCCGCCCUCCGACAAUCCUCCCUUGGCGCGUGGCGGGGGCAAGUCCCCGGAAACGUAAGGAUCGCCCAUGAAGUCGAUGGCGGAUUCGACAUCACCAAUCAUUUCCUUGUACAUCUGAGUGAGAUUGUUUUCGAUGAUCGUUACAGGAUCGGUGAUCGGGGGGGUGGUUAUGGCAAGAGCAACGAGGGCCGGGGGGCGAUGCGUUGGGUCGCGGUUGACGUCGUAGAGCGGGGAUUCUUCCCUGUCGAACGGCCUGGGCAUCUGCAUACCCCUAGGGUUGUCCCAGUUCCAGUAGGGCAGGGCGAAAUCGGGAUCUCCGAUGAGUUCGCCCAUGAUCCUCUCGAAGAAAUAGAGGUACCACCUGUGGAAGGGGUGGAUCCAGAAUUUGUCAUUAGGAGGGACUAAAUUUGUUGAAGCAUGACGUCUCAAAUUAUUAGCCAAUUUUUUUUAGCAUUCCAUACAGUUCAUUUUUUUGUCGAACUACAUUCGAUUAAUUCAACAACAAGAACAUUGAAAGCAUAUAAAUACUUACCUCUCAAAAAUUGUUUCAUCUUCUAAGAAGAUAAGCUAAUUUUCAUCAUGGCAGUUCAUAAUUUUAAUUUAACUUGAGGAUUGACUCAAAUUCAACACUGAGAAUCAACUAAGAAAGGAAAGUAGACAAAAAUAACAUAAAUUUAACAAACUAACAUAUCAAAUUUAAAUCACUAUAAAAUAUUAAACAGUUAAAACGUGGAUACUAUAAUUAAUAAAACAAUGUAUUUUAUUAUCUCUUGUAUUUCUUAUCUAUACUAAUAGAAAAAGAGUCUAAGACAGUCUAAGGCACAACUUGUGGAUUGCCUAUUUUACCCUUAUUAUAUAUUUAUUAUUAUAUUUACAAAAUAUAAAUCUAUUUUGAUAAAUAUUUAUUUGUCACUCAAAUCUAUAAAGAAUACUUUAUAUCUAUAGCUAUUGAUAAGGCUUAUAAAUAAAUAUAUUCAUCCACAACGUACGUUCUUUCUGCUAGUAUAUAAUAAAAACAAAAACAAAAAACUCAAAAUUUGGGAGGCGGUCGAUCCGCUGCUAACCUGUGGAAAGGGAAGAAGAUCCAUGAGUUGUGAACCUGGAUAUCGAUGCCGGGGUGGUCCACCUGGUCGUAGGGGCCGUUGCAGUAAGCGCAGUGGAUGUUGGCCUGCUGAGUGAAGCCACGGGGAUCGUCGGGGUCCGUCACGUCCAGUUCCUUCAUCUUCUGGAUGGCCAACUCAUACUUGCGUACGUAUUCCGGUGUCAGCCUGUGCGCCGCCGGCCUAACGCGAGGUUUAGUGAACCUCGGAAGCUUGUAGUCGCUCUGAACGUCGGUGUAGGGCGGGCAGCAGUUGACGUCUAGAGAUAUUACCUCUUGGUUUCGAGUGGUGUAGGCACCUUCGGGGUCGCAGGUGCUCAGGUCAGGAGGCAAAAUCGGAAGCGCCUCAGCUUUGCGGAUGGCGCUGCCUGCGCCGUAUAGACCGCCCAGCCCAAGCAGCAUGUUUCUGCGGUCUAUACGGCCGCUGCCACCGCCACCGCUGCUGCAUGACACCUGAAAGCGGCCGUGGCUCCGCCGGCUGCUGAGCUGGGAGGGCUUGCGAAAUGGGGAGUUGGUGGCGGCGGCGAUCGCCGUGAAUGAAGAUUGAAGGGAAGCCAUGUUUGAGUGAUUGAUUGAUGGUCGUUGUGAUUACCUGGGGAGGCAUGUCUUUAUAUAGCAGAUGUGACACGAGUUUUAAGAAAAAUAAAUUAUCCGUUGAAUAAUUAAAUCGCCAUGUUUCUAUAAUUUAUUCCUAAUGGAUCUAGUCAAACUAAUCGUGCAAUAUUUAAUAAACCACGCAGCAUCAUUUCCGAGACUAAUAAAUGACAUUUUGAACCAGCUAAUCAAUUCCAUAUAAUUAACCAUUUGCGAGGCUGGCUGCCCUUCACUAAAUGGUUGUAUGCACUUGUCUUUGGAAAAGCUGUUUGGCCAUAUUAUGGCCAGUCAUAAUAUGGGAAAAUAUUAUAAAAGUCAUGUAUUUAAUUUUUUAUAUUUAAAAUAAAAAUAGGAUUUUAUUAGUUUUAUUUUUUAUUACAUAUUUUAGCUAUUUUUUUUUAUAAUUUUUCUGAAUUUUUUAGAAAAAUAAAAAAUAAAAUUACAAUGUGAACAAAAUUAUAAAACUAAUAAUGGUAGAGCAGCGGAGGGCACAGGUGAAGGGCAUGGCGGCGGUGUACUUAUUUUAGUCAAGUAAUUAUUAUUGCACGAAAAAAUAAUUAUUAAUAUAAAGAAAGAUAAUGUUUCAAAGACAUUAUCUUUCUUCAUGUCUAUUAAUUUUUCAUCACAAUAAUAAUUACUUCGAAUUAUCCGUGUUUUCAAUCGUGCGACCUGCACCCAGCCCGACCCGACCCGUUUCACCCAUAUAGUCAGUCUCACCCAAGUUUUUGCCUAAAGAUAAGUAUUAAUUAGUUGUGUAUGGUGAUAUGAGUCUUGUUUGUAUAAAUUAGUAGGCCUUUAAUAAUGAAUUGGCCCAUCUCAGGUGGUUUAUAUAAUUUACUCGUAUGGAUCUAAAUACAACUAAUCAUGAAAUAUUUAAUAUACCACGGAGCAUCUUUCUGAUAUACUAUUUAUAUAGUAAUUUAUUCCUAAUGGAUCUAAUCUCUGACUAUUUAAUAAUUAACUCGCCAUCGUUUAAAUAAUUUACUCCUUAUGGAUACACUCAAAGUAAUCGUGCAAUAUUUAAUAUACCACGCAGCAUCAUUUCUCAUACAAUAUUUUGGACCAUCUAACCAAUUACAUAUAAUUAAACCUUUUGCCAGGGUGGCUGUCCCUUCCACUAUAUGGUUGCAUGUAUUGAAUUGAAAUUUUAUUGAGGAAAAAAUGAAAAGAAAAACUAGGAAUUCAUUGAUAGCACGAAGACGCUAAUUAAGGGCUGAGCCUCAUCAAAACCUUUCCGAUAAAAAUCCAGUGAAAAAAACCACCAGCAAAGGAAAAAGAGUACCAGUCUAUUACAAUAAAAAAAUGAAGAACAAACUCAAGACAGGAACAACGAGAAGCACGAGAGGAUGAUAAAACAUCUAACCCGAAAAAAAAGACCCAAACCAAAGGAGCCUGACAAAUCCGGAGCCAGUACCAGCGCACCAGGAAACUGAAAAAGUUCUGGAGAAGCCACUUCGACCCAAGCACGCCAACCAUCCAAAAGAAACGACUACCACACCCACACCUAGGCCAAGAAAUAUAUAAUAUUGUGAAUAGUUCCCAUGGGAUCGAAACAGACCACCAAAACAAGAAAAAACCUCUAAGAGCAGACUACUCAUUGCCUGCCUGCCUAGUAUUCGAUGAAAUACCCAAACCAGAAAUCAUAGCAUAAAGCAAAAACCGCCACAGCUGGGGAGCGAAGAGCAGAAGGCCACCAAUAAGAUACAUUAGGAUUGCGCAAAGUCUGACAAAGAAAUCAGAAAACUUACCAGACCACUCUAGUUAAUGUAAUCUAUACAUGUCCGCACAUGAAAUUUGGUCAAGUUAGAUACACUAAUCUCAAAUCUAUUUAAUUAACAAAUUGAUUGAUUGAUAUUUUUUUCUGAGAGAAAUUGAUUGAAUAAUUUUUAGACUUCAAAAACUAAUAGUUAAUUGAUUGUUUAGAUAAGAUUAUUAUUACACUUUUAUAUAGAGAUAAUUAGUACUUGAGAUAUGUGCAAUUUACGCAUUCUUCUCUCGAGACAAAAUAAAUAUUAUUGACCAUUGAGAACUCUGCUACCACUACUCCAGUUCUAUUUAUUAUCAGUGUGCCCUCUCGCGCGCUGCACGGGUCACAACAUAUUUGAUUAUUUAAUUUUAGCUGUUUACGCAUACUUCGCUCGAGACAAAAAUAAAAUAAGAUUUAUUGAUCAUUGAGAACUCAGUACCACACCAUACUCGUGUAUACUAUAAUAUUUAUCAUUGUUUAUGAUUAUUACGUGUCUUCGCCGAUAAAUUUAAUAUUCAUUCCUUUAAUUUUUUUCUAUUGACAUUGGAAACUGUCUUGAUUCUUUUUUGGCCAUAUCAUAUAUUUAAAAAAUUGGGAGGGGAACGUGGAAGUUGAAUCUGAAAUAAGAAUCAAAUGAUACAUGUGUACUUUCAAAGAUAAAACGCAAAAUAUAUCAUUUUUUUGUAAAACAUAUAAAUUCUACUAUUUAUGAUUAUUUUAAAUUUAUAUAAUCUAUAUUUGUAUGUAUAUAUAUUCUCCAUUUGUUCAUGAAAAAGAGUCUCAUUGUAUGCUGAAUACGAGUUUUAAUAAAAUGGUUGUAAGUGUGAAAUAAAUGUAUAAUUUGUAAGAGUCUUUACAUUAGAUUAUAUUUUACUCUCUUCGUCCUAUUGAUAAUGACUCACUUUUCUUUUUCGUCUGUCUCAUUGAUAAUUGCAUGUUCCAAAAAAACUGAAACCAUUUGACCUCACAAAAUGUUGUGGGCUCCACUACUUUUUAUCACUUUUAUCCUUUAAUUACUAUUCUUAUUAAUAACCGUGUCGAACAGUAAUGAACUAUUAUCAAUGGGAGGGAGGGAGUAAUAUUUUAAUUUUGUUUGCUGCCACCACCACCACCACCACCACAAUUUAAAAAAAAAAAUCUACGUGAAUAUAGUAAUUAUUAGAACAAAAAAAUAACUAUAAUAAUAAUAUAUUAAUCCGUUAAUUAUCUAUACUAAUAUAAAAAGUGCAUUUGGCACAAAAUAUAUAUUGCCUGUUAUAUCCCUAUUAUAGUAUUUUAUUUGAAGGACAACUUUGUAAAUUAUAUAUUAUAUAUUUAUAAGAAUAUAUUAUUUCAUUAGAUAUUACACUAAAUAUAUUUGAUAUAUAUCUAGAUCUUAUGCUAUAAUUUUUUUUAUAUUAAUUAAUUAUUAUAUAUUGUGAUUUAAUAGAAUUAUACAACUCUAAUAAUUUAUAAAUGUAAAGUUCAGGGAUUGCAUGCAAUGCACACAUUCUAUGCUAGAAAAAAAAUAGAAUUCACUAAGCCGAUGAUAAAUAACACAUACAACGUACUAUUUCUGCUAGUAAAUUAAAAAUCUAUAUGAUUUUAUCUUCUAUCACUACAUUAAUUAAAAUCUAUCUUCCGUUUCAUAUUAACGGUGGUUUUUCAAUAUUUUUUAUAUUAAUUACUACAUAUUGUGAAUUUAUUACAAUUGUUAACCUCUAACAAUUCAUUAAUAUAAAGUUGAUGGAUUGUGUGUCAUGCACAAACUCUCCUGUACUCAUCUAAAAGACUCUAUAUGUGAGAAGAAACCGCAGGAGAGUAAAAUGGUACAUAACAUAGAAUAGAAAGACUUUCACAAAAUAAAUGUUACAUUCUUCCCGUAGUCGGAAGGAGCAUGAAAAUGCGCGGUUAUUCGCAAGAAAGAAAGGCUCACUCAGCCACACAAAACAUGGAAAUCCUAAACACGGUGAUGCAGAGAUCAAGCGGUAACACGCGGGAUGAUCUUAAUACCACCGAUGGUAACAUCGUCGCCAUUAAUGUGGGGAACGAUAGUGACGACAAUGAAAUCAUCAUCAGCAAUAUUAAUGUUCUCAUAGAGUUCCUUCAGGUUCAAGUGAAGGUCGUUGGAGCUUUCCGUGGCCCUAACCCUGUGCGGAAUCUGCGUGAAGCACCCGGCGUACUCGGCCCUAUCGAGCUUCUGUGGCGUGUCGUCUGCAUCAUUCACGAACACAUCGAACCUCACGAGCUUCAAGCUAUCGCAGAUUAUGUCCUCCAGCACCAGCACUUCGUCGGCUUUGCCUUUGGUUGGUUUGGGCACCACAACCCUAUGAGGCUUAUUGAGAGUGAGAGGGAACACAUUGUCUCCGGUCUCCGCCGUCUUGGCGAGAUCUUCGGUAUUGACCGGUUCCGGCCGCUGAGGUGGCCGGCAGGUCAUCCAUGGUGUAUGGCUAUAUUCAUACUCGUAUCCCAUUUUUGUGUGGUCCAAGCAGUCGGCGACCUUAACGCGCACCAGCUUCCUCUUCUCGUUGUAGAACAUGAAGGAGGCGUUGUUGAAGUCGUCGGGGUUGGGGACGACGAGCUCGUUGAUAUCCUUCGGGAAAACGGAUGGGAUCGUUUUCCAUAUAGUCCACAUUCUGUCGACGUUAGCGUGAUGUGCGUAGAAGAGAGGGUCUCUUCCGGCGGAGUAGAAGUUCCCCAUGUCUUCGCGGAAAUUGUUGGCGGGGUUUCCGGUCCAGACAGCCGCCCUCCGACAAUCCUCCCUUGGAGCGUGGCGGGGGCAAGUCUCCGUCAACGUAAGGCUCGCCCAUGAAGUUGGUAGCGGAUUCGACAUCACCAACCAUUUCCUUGUACAGCUGAUUGAGGUUGUUGGAGAUGAUCUGUACGGGAUCGGUGAUCGGGGGGUUGGUUAGGGCAAGAGAAACGAUGGCCGGGGGCCGAUGCGUCGGGUCGCGGUUGACGUCGUAGAGUGGCGACGCGUCCCUGUCGAACAUCGAGGGCAUCUGCAUGCCCCUAGGGUUGUCCCAGUUCCAGUAGGGCAGGGCGAAAUCGAGAUCUCCGAUGAAUUCGCCCAUGAUUCUCUCGAAGAAAUAGAGGUACCACCUGUGUAGGGAUGAAUCCAGAAUUUGUCGUUAGGGGGGCUAAAUCUAAAAGUAUUUGCAGUGGGGGCUCCCGUCCGCAAGACAAUUUUUUUUAACCAUUCCGUAUAGAUUUAAUUGGCUUAACAUUAGAAAUCAGUCACUUACUAUAAAAAAUAGUUGUUCGCAUUCCAUUAAUUCAACAACAAGUACAUUUAAAGCAUAUACAAACCUACCUCUGUGCAAUUUUUUAAAAUAUUAUUUCGACUUCUAAAAGAAUAAACUAAUUUUCAUUGUUAAUUAAUAGUUCAAAAUUUUAGUUUAUCUUGAAGAUUAACUCAAAUUAAAUAUUCAAUAUUACCUAAUUAAACAAAAAUGAGACAAAAAUAACACAAAUUUUUAACAAACUAACCUAGCAAAUCACUGUAAAAUGUUAAGCAAUUCUUUCUUGUAUUUCUUCUAUAUAUUAAAAACAAAAAAAUUAGGGAGGGGGCUUCAGCCCCCGUGGAUCCGCCACUAACCUGUGGAAGGGGAAGAAGAUCCAUGAGUUGUGAACCUGGAUAUCGAUGCCGGGGUGGUCCACCUGGUCGUAGGGGCCGUUGCAGUAAGCGCAGUGGACGUUGGCCUGCUGAGUGAAGCCGCGGGGAUCGUUGGGGUCCGUCACGUCCAGAUCCUUCAUCAUCUGGAUGGCUUUCUCGUACUUGGCUAUGUAUUCCGGUGUCAGCCUGUGCGCCGCCGGCCUCCUGCGAAGCUUUGUGAACGUCGGAAGCGUGUACUCUUCCUCGUCGUCCGUGUAGGGCGGGCAGCAGUUGGCGUCUAGAGAUAUUAUCUCCCCGUUUCUAGAAGUAUAGGCACCUUUGGGAUCACACUUGCUCAGGUCAGGAGGUGAAAUCGGAACCGCCUCAGCUUUGCGGAUGAGGCCGCUUGCGCCGUAUAGACCACCCAGACCAAGCAGCAUGUUUCUGCGGUCUACACGGCCGCCGCCGCCUCCAUCACUGCUGCACGACACCUCAAAGCGGCGCCUCCGCCUGCUGGCGAGCUGGGAGGUGGUGCGGAGGUUGGGGUUGGUCGUGGUCGCCAUCACCAUGAAUGAAGAUUGAAGGGAAGCCAUGCUUGAUUGAUUGAUGCUUGCAUUGCGCUCGAGGCAUGCAUGUCUAUAUAUAGUAGGCGUGGACACGAGUUUUAAGAAAAAUAAUGAUACUUAAUGGGAUUAUUUUCGAAAAUGAAUUAGGAAGAUGUUUUGGAGACGAAAAUAGAAAAUUGACCUUUUGCCAGGCUGCCCUUUCACUAAAUGGUUGUAUGCACUUAUCUUUUUUUUAUCUAUAAAGAGGUAUUUUCUCCAUUUAAAAAACUUAUCGAGGUAAUUAUGAAGACUAUUCAUUUUUAUCGUUGUAAAGUUAAUUAAAUUAUAAAAAUUAAAGUUGAUAAAGUUCUUAUUAAACAUCAUCGCUCUUCUGUCUUUGGACGACAAAAUUAAUUAUUUCAAAUAGAUAAAGAACUUGAUUUUCCGAUAUGGCUUCUCAUACUAAUUAAAUAAUCUAAUCCUAUAAUGUAUUUCAUAUAAAGUUAUCAAAUUAACAAUAUUCUGUGUGAAUUUUUUUGCCUUGAGUGUGUGUAUAGAGGUAGUCAGGGCCGGCCCUGAGGGUGGGCGGGCAUGGGCGACGGCCCAGGGCCCCAAAAAUUUGAGGGCCCAAAAUUUUUAAUAUAUCCUAUUAAUUAUAGAUCUUAUGUAUACUAACAACAUAGUUCAUCUAUUGAUUUUGGGCCCAACAUAAUUUAUUCUCAAAUUUAGAUCUAUACUUAAUAUAGAGAGUUUUCAAUUUGAAAUCAAUUUCAAAGUAAUUUCAAAAUUGAGUGACUAUUUUGUAGUUAUAAUAUUAAUAAAAUUGAAGGUUUAUGUUUAAACUAUAUAUUUUUAUUUUUAUUUUUAUUUUCAUUUUCAUUUUCUUUAACUUCUUAUUUGUUGUUACAUUUCUUUCCAAAAUUGUGAAAUUCAAUUAAUUAUAAAAUAUUUAAUAUGCAUAUCAAAUUAAAGAUCACAAUAAGAGUUUUAAUAUGAUAUAUUUUAUGAAAAAUAUUUGAUUUAAAAUGUAAAAUUUAUGCAUGUUCAAAUAUUAAAGUUUUAUAAAUUUCUCUCACCUCUCUCAUCUUUACGAAUAAAUAUAUUUUUAAUUCUUUUAAAUUAGUAUUUUAUUUUUAAUUUUUUUAACUUAUUUUUUUGUUUUUGUAUUUCAUAAUAUCAAAUUUUAUAAUUGUGAAUUCUUUUUUUAUUUUUUUUAAUAUUCAAUUCAAAUAUAUAUAAUUAAAAUUAAUUUUUUAUUAUAUUUAUAAGUAUAAUAAUUAAAUUAGUAUUAAUUUUAUAUAAAUAGUAAAAACAAAAAAUAUUUCCCGUGCAUGAGAUGCAAAUGGUAGUUGCACCUCGCCGCCGGUAAUAUAUUUAAGUAUAUAAAUUAAUUAAUAUUAACAAGGCGCCCGGUGAUCACCGGAGGCAUCCUUGCCGCUGGUAUUUCUGCCGCUACUUUGAAAAAUACGGCCGUCGGUAAAUCUGGCCGCAAAUUGUGUACGUUUUUUGGUAGUGGUAAUAUAUUAGGGCCCAAUUUUUUAAUUUCGCCCAGGGCCUCAGUUUUGUCAGGACCGGCCCUGGAGGUAGUUAUAGAAUUUAUCUUUUGUGUUCUCAAAGGAACUUAAUUAAGAUCCAAUGUGAUUGAUACAUUUCGACUAAAUGGAUGGGCAAGAUUCUUUUAACGCCCAAUAUUAAUUCCAUCUCAAAUCGGAUCUUAUAUAAUACUGUAUUUUAUAUAUUCUAUAAUGCAUUUUAUAUAUUACGUGUCUAUUAAAUUAACAUUGAUCUUAGGAGUGAUACAAGUUUAAAAAAAAGCUAGCUGUAUAUUUGGUGAGUAGAGAAGGGAUUUCAGAAAUUAGAAAAAAUGGUGAUAGGUAGUGGAAUUAUUUUAAAAAAUGGACUAAAAAGAUGUUUCAUGAACGAACGAAAAUGGCAAAAUAGGAAGAUGAGUCGUGGUCGGAGGAAAUAUUAUAAUGCAUCGUAUCCUUUUUUGGUUCGUAUAAAGAUUUUUAUUUGAUCCUCAUCGAGAACAUGCAUAUUGCGAAUACUUAAUUUAUUUCAAUAUAUAUAUAUUAAUUUAUUGGGAGCAUAUGCUAAAUAAAUUAAAUUAAUCCGAAUCAAAAGCGCUUAAUUAUCACUACAUUACAUGCAUUAUGACAAAAAGCCUGCGGCUAAAGAUCUUCAGUUUAAGUCUAUUGUCAUAUUGUUUUUAAAAUAUUAUUUAUCCAUUCCGCAUAUGGAUUGGUCAGAUUUAGAUACACAAAUCUCAAAUGUAUUUAAUUAACAAAUUGAUUGAUAAAUUUUAGAAUUCAAAAAUUAAAUCAAUCAAAUACGCGUGUCCACAGUCAAUGGAUUGAAAAUAUGCAGGUAUCUAGAUAAGAUAUAUUAUUAUUAUUAUUACACUGUUAACUAUACUGCAGUACACUUUUAUAUAUACAGACAUAAUUAAAAUAUGCAGGUAUCUAGAUAAUAAGAUUAUUAUUACACUAUUAACUAUACUGCAGUACACUUUUAUAUAGAGAUAAUUACUAGAGAUAUGUGCUAUUACCCAUACUUCGCUCGAGACAGAAAUAAAUACGAUUGACCAUUCAAUUAAACACUACGACACCAUACUCGUGCAUGUACUAACGAUCUUAUUAUAAGUGCACCUUCCCGUGCGAUGCACAGGUCAGUAGAAUUGUAAUCGAUAUUGAUGUGAAUAUCAUCAUAUUCGAUUCGUAUUUGUGAAAAUACUCUAAUAUUUGAUUCAGCAUUCGAUUCGAUCACGAAUACUAAAUACGAUCCCAUAUUCGAUUCGAUGUUAUUUUUGAAUUAUUUGAUACAUUUUUUAAAAUUAAUUAAAUAAUUUUUUUACGAAUAUUCGAUUCGUUUUCCAUCAUAUUCAAUUCAAAACUAUUCGAUUUGAAAUUCUGAAGGAAAAAAUAUGUUAAAUAAUAUUCUAAAAAAUAUAGGAUUAUAUCCAAUAUAUUUACCUAAUAAUUAAACACACAAUAAUAAAGUGUUCAAUUCAUAUUGUUUUAUGUCCCGUGGUUUGUUUCUAGGAUUGUGGUAAUAAAGACUGAUUGGAUCAGUCUAGUACAGUUGUUGUUUGAAUUUGUAAUUUUGUGUAACGGCAUUGUCAUCUUGUUGAGAUUAAUAGGAGUUAAUUUGUUUAAUUAAUUAUUCAUGAGUUUCUUAUAAGAUACCUUCCUUCGUUCCGUAAAAAUAGUCAUAAUUUUUCAUUUUAGAACGUCCAUAAAAAAAUAGUGUUAUUCCAUUUAUAAACAAUUUAGAUCCUUACCUUUGGGAUGAGAUAAAAUGAAAUUCCAUUUUAAAUCAUAAACUAGCUAUAUAGGAAGCAUUUUCAGCUCUUGAAUUCAUCUGUUGUUCGAAUUUCAUAGGAAGCAAGUUUUUUUGACUCAUUAUUUUCACAGCGAAUUCAUCAUGUUACACAUACCCUAAAGUGAUAUAUUUACCCUAUUUGAUAACAUGAUAAGUAUAUUUGAAGCGCUCACUAUUUUAUUUGAACUUUAUUAUCGAGUUUAAACGAGUUUUGAAAUAUUGAAUUAAAUUGAAAUAUCCAUGUUGAUCGUUUAAGAAGCAAAUUUUUGGCAUGGGUUUAUAAAAAAUACAUCCUAGCCUCCAUCCCUAAUAAGUGCGGUGUGAAGGAGUGGGCAAUAGUUCUUUAAAAAUAAUUGAGAGAUGUGUAUAAAGUGGAUAAAAUGGCUUACUAGAGCUGAUUUGUUAGGCCUUACUUUCUCUCUGCCCCACUAAAAUAAGCUCAAUUCUUUUGAGAACAUAGAUUAAUAAACUUUCUUUUGAGAAGAAAAUUAAAGUGGUGGCAAAAGUAAUGUGGUCCAUACCAAUUAAGCAAUUUGAGUACAUUUUUUUUUUCACUCAAAAGGAAAACGAGCCUAUUCUAGCGGGACAUUCCAAAAUAGAAAACGAGCAUAUUCUGCUGGGACGAGGGAAUAAUAAAUUGUUUGUGAGAUGAGUAGUUUGUAAAUAUUGUGUGUGAAAGGUGUAUGUCUUAAAUUGAAAAGACCAUACCUGUAUUGUGAUUGUACGGAAAGGUGGAACUGAGCAUCGCGGCGGCGGCGAGGCAGGAGGCGGCGGUGGUGAGGAGAAUCGAGAGAGAGAGAGAAAGAUGCCAGCAGACAGUGACGGAGGGCAGUGGGCGGCCCUUGGCGGCAGCGGAGACGACAAGGUACUGGCUGUGCCAGAAUUAUUUAGUUGCAUAGGAUCCUUCCAAAUGUAAUUACUGAUUCACUGUUGGAUUAACAAGAAUUAAAUUACUUCAUAAUACAGUAUUCCAACUGUUCGAUAAAAGCCCUUAAUGAAAUCUUCCAUAGAUUACUUUGCAAAGUUCAUAAAAUUACUCAAAAGCAUUGUUGCAUAGUCCGUACAUAGAGAUGGUCGAUUAUCUUAAUUAUGUCUAGAUUUAUUUACGACACACACACACACACAUCACAAAAUCACACAUACUGACUAAUAAGGUUCCCGAAAGCCGGCAUUAUUAGGCGCCAUGGUGGCCGUGAAAUACCAUGAGACGAUAUCAUGGGUGGUGGGUCCGUCUAGUCUGGUGGCGGCGGAGAGCCCUACCUGAACCUGCUAAGGAAGAAAGCCGCUCAAAUCAUACUCAUAGCUGACUUCAAACGUCUUCGAGCCGGCGGUGGCACGGACGGCGAUCUACUUUGUGGAGGCGGCGUAGUUGAUCCUCGCCGUCACCUGCUGCUCGAGUAUGGAGCCGUCGACCUCCGUCGUGUUUCGGGAUGACCUAGACCCGAUGUCGAUGCCGAUGUGGGGAUAGUUCGGAUCCCACGCGCUGUUGACGUAGGUGUCGAACUCGACGGCAAAUACCGAGGGGUUGCUGCCGGAGGAGCCGAAGAUUCCGAGGUUGGCCCCGCUGGAGCCGGUGGGGAUGGUGGAGCGGCGAGAUUGGUGAUGCUGGGUGUGGUGAUGAAGUUUACGGUGGUUUCAAAGUCGACUUGGCCACCGGCUUGGGAGAAUUGGACCGGGUUCGUGUACAAGACCCGGCCGACACUACCGAUCUGCGGUCGCCUUGGUAGGUGAGGUCGGUCGGCUGGUUGUCCCAGAAGUUAUAGGCGAAGGCCGUUGAUCGGGACUUCGCCCUGUUGGUGGCGACGGCGAGAAGAAGGGCGAUGGAGAUUAGGGUUUGGAGAAGGUUGGCCAUGGCUUAGUUGUGCAGUGAAUGAUGUCUACUACUUGCUCCUAUUUAUAAUGAUCGAAAAUAUCUACUACUUACCUACCACAGAUCCACAUCAGGGGCCCUGGAUGGGGUGGUCGACUACAUAAGCCCAAAAAAAUAAGGGCUCGGAAAAUAUAUAGAUCCAUGUAAGUAUUAUAUAUAUGUAUAAAAUAAUUAAAAGCCAACUAAUGAUUGAAUUGAUUAACUUGGCGCAGUGGAAAAAGGACAUUUUUAAUUCCUCUUAAUUACCAAUAUUUUAUUUAGUGACCAAUUUUUUUGUUUAGAUAUAGGGCCCAGCCCCUAUUUUGAUAAAUUAAGUGUAUGUAUUUCAAAUUAACAUUAUUUUAAGUUGUCGAAUUUUUUUGUUAAGAUUUAGGGUCCAGCCCCUAUUUUGUUAAAUUAACUUUAUUUUAAGUGAAUGACAUAAUUAUUAAUAUAUUUAUUAAUUAUUAUGUAAUUUGAUAAAAAAAUGUUUUAAAUAAUUUUAGUUUAUAAUUAAUUUAUUUCUCAAUUAUAAAUAAAUGGCCUAAAUUAAAAAAUUCGCAAAGGGCCUAUGUUCUCUUAGCCCUACCCUUGCACUGUUGCACAUGGUAUAUAUAUCUAUUCUAUGAAUAUAAGUGAUUAUUUUAUAAACCACGUGAAAGCACUUGUUCCCACUAGCACUAUAAAAGCAAUAAAUACAACGGAAAGAAAAUAAAUUACAAUUGAAUACAUUAGGAGAAAAAUUACUUCUAACCUAUGGAAUUACUAACAACGAUACUUAUACCAAAGCUAAAUUGGACCAACUAACUGUACACUCUUGUAUUAUAUCAACCUACCAGACCUUAGUAUUCACGAGUCUCCCACAGUCUAGACUGAUUCACAAUAUAUACCAACAUUGGAACAAGUUCAGUAAUACACUCUAUUUAUAUAUAUUAUUAUAUACACAAAAAUGCAUGGCUGCUGUGGUAUUACGGAAGGAUCGAGAAUUACUCGAUCCUUGGGAAAAGGUUCAAAUGAAACCUUUAUUAUUACUCUCCGUCCCCCAAAUAAUAUCAUAUCCGAUUUGGGAUAUUACCCCACCACUAAUAAUACUUUAUUUAUUCUAACUUCUCAAUCUUUCACCAUUCUCAAUACUAAUUAUAACACAUUUUCAUCACUUUCAAUACUAAUUAUAAUUUCUUUUCUCCACUGCUAAUACGUACACUUAACAAUUUUUCCUUAAAACCAGUGUCGUCCCCUACUAAGAAGUUAUUUGGGGGACGUAGGGAGUAUUUUUUAAUGAUAUGGCAUCCAAAUAUGUUGUGACAAUCCAGUGAGCAAUAUCAACUUUUUGGAGCUGAAAACCGAUGUGAGGUACAACUAAUACACAAUAUGUUGUGGCAAUCCAGUAAUAUACCCUAAGGAUGCGUCAUCUUUUGUUGUAAAUUUAUCAUGGAAAAAUGAGGGAUAAACAAAAUUUCACCCAUUAAAUCCUUCAUUUUUUCCCUCAUUUCUUACAAAAUAGAAUUUGACCCUUACUCAUUUCUCAUUUUCACUGCAAAGGGGGGCUAAUAUUAUCUCUCUAUUUUUGGUAUAAUGAAGAAUUUGAUACGUAAUUACAAUUAAUUAUAAUGAAGUGUGUAUUUUAGUUGCUCAUAUUCUUGGAUUAUUUAUGCUUUAAUGAAACGAUCCACUGCCUUUAACAUUUUGGCAUUUUAAAGUAAACGCCGAAAUGCAACGAUCCACUGCCUUUUAAGUAAACACCCUUGCUAACCCCUGCAUGCGUUUUUUCAUCAAACACUUGGGUUCAUUCUUUUAGGCAUUUUAUCAAACAGUUGUGCUCAGCCUCAUCCUUUUGAUCACAUUCCCAUAUCUCUCCUUAUAUGAAACCGCAUUUUCUAUUUCUCAUAUAUUUCCUAUAUAAUAUUUCCAUCAUUUCUAGCUCAACAAUAAUUCUUCUAGCAAAAUUAUCAUUUCAAAUGCACUCUUUUCCUUUUCUACUUUCUCUUCUGCAUAACAGAAAUACUAAUCCACCAUAAAAUAAUCAUAACUUUUUCUUAAUGAUACGAUGAGGGCACAAAGUUGAGAUGAUAAAAUCAUACAUAUUGGCGAAUGUUGCCGCCGGCUUCCUCUGACUUUUGGAUGCUGAGGGGAGGGGUGGCGGUGAAAUACCAGGAGUUGAUGAUGAAUUUGAUGGUUGUUUCCAUGUCCACCUGCCGCAGAGACCGAGAUACGAUUUUAGAAACAAACGGCAAAAUUACAAUUUCACAUAUAAAAAAUAAAAGACAAUUAAUAAAGCGCAUAAUAUUGGUAAGAUGCUUCCAACCAAUAGGUCGGGAUUGUAUAUCGUGUGAGUGUGUUUUUCAUUUUUUAGUAAUAACAUGUCGUGCUCGGGGCUUUUUUCCGUAUCUGCCCCUGCUUCCCGUCGUCGUGCCCGACUCGUCGGUUUUUGUCAUGCGGAGGUAGGUGGUGGCGUCGGUGAAGUUGGCGUCGCCUUCCAAGCGUAGGCCUUCCGAAUGUGGCGGCUUUUGGUAGAAGUCGUAGGUGAAGGAGACUGCAUCGCCGACCGACACGGUGGCGAGGAGGAGGGCGAUGGAGGAGAGGAGAGGAAUUAAGGUUUGGAGAAGGUUGGCCAAUUUGAUUAAAUGUAUUUGGAUGUAGUGGAUGAUGGUGUAUCGAUCUCUUGCUCCUAUUUAUAGUUGUAAAUAUAUAUUAAUAAUGGUAUCAUUCAAUCAUUAUACUUUAGGCCGGCCGGGCCGGAUCCUCUAUUCCAAAUUCUAUGUCUCAUUGUUCAUAUUCACUAUUAAUUUCACUAUUUCAAUAAUUAAAAAAAUUCAUAGAGUUUGGGGCAGAGGAUCCCGUUUGAAUCCCACAUGGAUCCUCUGUCCCAUAACUUAUUGUGUUCCUUCCCAUUAUUAAUCUCGAUAUUAUAUUUCUACUUUGGAGUUAAUUCAUUAUAAACCCAUGAAAGAUCAGACGAAAUUCAUCCAAUAAACAUUUAUAAAUUUAUAUUUAAAUUUUGUUUCGCGGGUAUCUGAUAGAUAAUAGGUAUUCGUGGGUGGCGAAUUUGGGUAGCAUUUGAUAUUCAUAGAUAGUUUCAUGAUUAAAAUCCAAUAUUCAUUUAGUUCACGGGUAUGGUAUGACAGCCACUAUCUGUGUACGUCAUACCUGAUUGCCAGUAUGACAAAUAUAAAAGUUGUGAGAUGCACAGCAGCUUAAUUAUUCAAAUAGAAAUAUCAUCACAUGUGCAUUGAUAUUUCACAAAAUAAAUACUACUACUAAUAAAUACUCCCUCCGUCCACCAAAGAUAUGCCACUUUACUUUCGGUACGAGUUUUAAUAAAAUGUGAGUGAAGUUGGUAGUGGAGUAAGGGUCCCACUUUAAAUGUGAGUGGAAUGGUAUGGACCUUACUACUAAAAAUGGAUGUGGCAUAUUUUUCGUGGACGAACGAGAAAGAAAAUUGUGGCAUAUCUUUGGUGGACGGAGGGAGUAGUACUCAUUGAUAAUGCAUGCCAACACAUGGUUCUUGCAAGUCAUAUAUAUACCUCAUCAGCAAUAUAGUAAAAUGAUGAUUUGACAACCAGAUUAAGACACCAAUUAUUCUUGUCGGGACACAGACAUAUAUGCAUAUAGAAUUAAUAUUAUUUACUAUUUCGUUUAUACACGUGAAUUAUGCUUUGGAUGCAACAUCGCCACGUCUCUUUCAUUUAUACUUCUCUAGUGUAUUGCGGACAAAAUAGUUAGUGUCUUUAAGAAAUUAAAAAUUUUCAAAUACAUAAGAAAGAAUAAUUAAUCUAAUUGGUGCGCCGGCAACUAAAACUUUUUUCAAUUCACUUUAUAUUUUAUAUACUCCCUCCGUCCACGAUUUAAUGCCCCAUUUUAGUGUGGGCACGGAGACUAAGAAAACUGAAAAAGGUGAUGUGAAUGAAAUAUAAGGGUAGUUGACUAAAGUGAUAAAGAUGCUGUGAGUGGGUUCACUAGUGAUAAAGUAUAGGAAAUAUAGAAUAUAAAAAUGAUAAAGGUGUUUUAAGUUGGGUCCAUUAGUGGCAAAGAGUAAUAAAUAUAGAAAAAGAAGAGUAAAAAAGUACAAAAAGCAUAAUAGGGCUUUAAUUUGUGGACAAAAAAUUAAGAGCAAGUAGGGCUUUAAAUUGUGGACGGAGGGAGUAUUUAACAUUACAAGUCAAUUGCUUGCAGAAUUUGAGCUUGUCUCCCGUGAUGGAGACCUCACCAUGCGGCAACCCGUGCCUGCGCCUGCCUUUUUUCUUCCCGUCUUGCUCUAUCCAGAUAUUAUACGUGAUCCAACUCUUUCCAGAUAUUAUACGUAAAUGAUAAUUUUACUAACAAAAAUUACACUUUUUAUCAAUAACAAAUGAAACUAUGCAUACAAAACAGGAGGUAAAUGAUAUUUUUCUUAAUAACAACUGAUACUUUUUCAAUGCAAAUAAUACUUCGCAAAUGAUAUUUUAAUAUAAAAGUAAAUGAUACUUUGUAUAAAAAUAAAUGUUAUAUUACAAAUGACACUUUUAAUGCAUACCAAUGACACUUUUAAUAACAAAAAUUGAGAAAAAAAAAUUAGAAUUCGGCCUUAAUUAAAAUUUGGACAACAUUUAUUUGGGCAAAGAAGAAAAACACCUGAAUUUUUUUUUUUCCUUUUUUGAGAGAGAAAAACUCAUGAAAUUUCAUGCAAAAGGUAAUGCAUAGCCAACCGGGCUCAAUCAUCUUUCGGCGGUUUUGGUUUGAUUCUUCCAACAUCUAGGGUAGCAUUCACACAAAAUCAACUCGUGUUCAAAAAUCUGAAAUUAAAAUUAACGAUGUGUCUCAGUAUAGAGAUAAGAACAUACCCCUCAAAUGGUUCGAGCCAAGGUCUAAUUCCUUCAGCAGUGUGAUAUUCCAAAUUUGAGUAGGCAUAUAUCCGCCAAAGUUGUUGUCUGACAAGCGAAUACUCUCAAGUUGUGGACAUUGGUACAAACUCGAUGGUAUAUCUCCUUCCAAAUUGUUAAAGGAUAGGUUCACUAGUUUAAGUCUUUGAAGGUUAUUGUACGUGCNUAGACAACAAGAAAUAUCUAUUGUCUAUUCUAUGACAAAAAAAUUAAAAAAUUCUAAUAUAUCUGCAUCCCUGUAUUACAAUACCAAUAUAUAUGAAAAAAUAAAAAUAAUUAAAAAUCAAAUAAUCAAACAAUACUUAUAAACCACUAAUACUCACAAUCAAAUAUUUACACAUCAGUGUAAAUAUUGGGUUCGAGUCCUCUGCGUGUGUUGAUCAAGCGGUAAGGGGUUAAUGCCUAAGGUCAAAGGUCUGGGAUUCGAGUCCCCUGUGGUGUAGCCUUUUAAUUUCGUUAUUUAAUAUUGUAAAUUUAUAAAAAAAAAAAAGUAUAUUUACACAUCAACAAUUGUAUUAUCUUUAAUACGCCUUCAUUCAUCUAAUAAAAAAAAUCUCUAAUAAAAUCUCCAACUAACUCCGGUCAUGAUCAUCUCUUGAAGGCGGAGGAAGGUGGAGUCCGUCGGGAAAUGGGUACUGCCUUGAUAGAUGAGAUCUUUCGGCUGGUCGCCCCAGAAGUCGUAGGUGAAGGACGUCGUUUGGGACAACGCCGUGUUGGAAACGGAGAGGAGGAGGACGAUGGAGGAGAGGAGAGGAGUUAAGGUUUGAAGAAGCUGGUUGGCCAUGGCUUAAUUGAUUUAGAUUUAGAGAUGUGGUGGAUGAUGGUGGUAUCGAUCUCUUGCACCUAUUUAUACUAGUAUGGUUCAUGCCUGUUAAUAAUUGUAUAUAUCAAUCAUCGUGCAUCUAUCCCAAAUUAUAUGUCUUAUUAUUCACUAAUUAGAUGGAUUAAAUCCUGAUUAGUAACCAUAAAAUUAAACUGUCAAUGAGGCCUUGCUCUAGUGGCAAAGCUGUGACACCGAAUAACUUUUCUUUGUGAAAUGUCUUGGGUUCAAUCUCGCCUGCAUGCGGUGAUGUGUGUCCAUUUUAGGUGGUGUGGUAUUCUUGUCUGCGUGCGGUGUUGUAUUGUUUAGUGUUGAGGUCCCACAUGCAGAGCGUUCUUGCCUGUGUACGUGUCACAGCCCAAAACCAUUUAUUUUCUUUACAAAUUUUAUAUAUGAAAAUUAUUUAAUUUUUAAGUUAUAGAGUUUUUGAAAUAUAUAUAGUAUCAAUUUUAUGUUAACUUAGUCGUGUCCCUAAUUAAAAGAAUGACUUUAAAAUAAAACUUAAGCCUUAAAAAUUUAAUCUACAUUCAUAUAUAACUGAAAUUACAUGCAUGUCUAAAUAUUAUUUAUAAUUAUCAAUAACAAGAUUAAUGAUUCUAUAUCUCUAUGUUUAUACAUGUAUUCACGUAUGACAUAGUAUAUAUUAGCUAUUAAGUUAAAAACUAAUAAAAUACUACACUUUUGCAUAGGAUAUAUAUUUAAUUAGUAGUAGGAUAGGACACGUGUAUUAAUUUUAAGGGCAAGUAAUCAAACUUUUGAAUGAUUCAUCAUGCUUAAAAAAAAAAGAGACCUAGAUAGAUGAUUCAUCAGAUUCAAAAACAAGUAUAAAUAGACUUCGGGUUUGAAAUUUUAAUUAAUUUGCAACAACAAUUCAAACUGACUGUAUUAAGGUAAGUAGUUACAGAUUUCAUACACAUAUUAUAUGAUUUCGCACACAUAUUAAGGUAAGUAUAUAUAAAUAUUUUUUAAAAUCAUAUAUUAUAUAAUAAUUAUAUUUAAGUUUUAUAUUAUUCUUUAUAAACUAUUGUUUCAUUCUAUAUAAUUAGGUGUGGCACGACUAGGACGUAACUUUCUAUUGAAUUUCUCAAGUUAAUCUUAGAGUUCAAGUUUCAGGUGUGAGAUUUAUUUAAAUACAUGUCGUACGUGGUUAUUUAUUGUCCAUUUUAAUAAGAUGUGUUUACCAUAUGUGUUAUGACGCAUAUUUUUAGGAUAUCACUAGGUGCCCAUAAAUAGGAUCCAGGACUUCACCGUCCUUGGAUUGCCACAAUGCGAUUUGAGGUUUAUUUUGAGGAUGUCGUUAGGGGCCCGUACAUAGGGUCCAGGACUUUAAUAGUCAUUGGGUUGCCAUAGUGCAAAUAUUGAGGAUAUAUAUGAAGUGACCGUAUGUGUUACCGUUUCAUUAACGUGGACAAUGAUUGCAUGUUUAAGAGACAAUAACCAAUUUUUCAGACAUUUGUGAACAAAAUGAAGCAUGUUUAGAGAUCCUUAAUACAGGUGUACGAAAUGAUGGAUAAAUAAGUUUGUGAAACAAAUUUCACCAUACCUAACCCCACAAUUAUUUGCGGUCGAAUUUCCUCGUCACAGGAAAAAGAGAUGAUGACAAAAGGGAAAAAAUUAAUUAACAAAGUAGAAGAUGCAUGACAACUGUAAAAGAAAAAUAAUGCUACUAAUUAAAUAGUCCAAACUUCAUACGUUUCAUAUCAUAAGUGGCAGUUCUAUUUUUUUUUUUGCGAAUGUGAACAAAAUAACGAAUAAUUUUUAAAGUAAUAGUAAUAAGGAGAUGUGUUUUGACAGAAAACGACAUGAGCGGCCUAAAAAUAAGAGGGAAAAAGAUAAUCAUAUAAAUAUUCAAAAUCAAACGGAUUGGCAUGUAUUCAUCAUUUUUUAUUUUUUAUUUUGAUAAUUUAACAGUACUCCCUCCGUCCGUCAAAAGUAGACCACUUUGGUUGGGCACGGGAUUUAAUAAAAUUAGUGAUGAUUUUGAUGUAGUAGAGAAAGAGUUCCACCACUUUAUGAGAUGUGUGGUUGAGAUUGAAUUUGUUGUGAUUUUUUUGUAAAUAAAGAGUGUUUGUAAGGAUAAAAGAUUAAAGUGGGUGGUGGGACCAUUUCCAUAAAAGGAAAGUGGUCUACUAUUUGCGGACGCCCAAUAUAGUAAAAGUAGUCUACUUUUGGCGGACGGGGAGAGUAUUAAAUAAAUAAAUUUAAAGGUUGCACCCCUUACUGCUUGGCUUUUAGAUUAUGUUAUAAUAAUAAAAUUAACAGCACGUUUACAAUAUAAAAUUAAUUAUGAUAAAUACAAUAUAUUAAUAAUAAAUACUCAAUUACCUCUUAACAUAAUUCGCGCAUCAUGGCUUUUAGCUUAUAUUAUAAAGAUAUAAUAUGUUGUCUAUAAUAAUCGACGGAAGGUAAUAGACAACAUGUUUUAUAUGUUGUCUAUAAUAAUAUAGACAGUAGAUCUAGUGUUAUAGAUAACAAUUAAUACUUGUUGUCUAUAUGAUGAUAGACACCAAAAAUCUCUGUUGUCUAUUCUAUGACAAAAAAAUUUAAAAAAAUUCUAAUAUAUUUACAUCCCUGUAUUACAAUACCAAUAUAUAUGAAAAAAUAAAAAUAAUUAAAAAUCAAAUAAUCAAACAAUACUUAUAAACCACUAAUACUCACAAUCAAAUAUUUACACAUCAACAACUGUAUUAUCUUUAAUUACGCCUUCAUUUAUCUAUUAAAAAAAAUCUCUAAUAAAAUCUCUAACUAACUCCGGUCAUCAUCUCUUGAAGGCUUAGAAAAUGUCCAAAUACAGCGGCACAUGCUCAUUAUUGUGUGAGCGAUGAGAACUUUGCGCUGAACCUAUAAAGUAACUAUACUUAACUGGUAAAGUAAUUGUAUCCCGUGAAUCUAAAGGAAGACUACACACGUUGAUAGAGUUUGAAAGAAAAGAAUAAAGAGAAUGAAAAUCCAAAGAAUUUGCUUCUUCCGUUGAACAAUCCCUACACAACAUUGAAAUAUCAAUGAAAAUAAUGGCUAUCGUAUACUCCCUCCAUCCAUGAAAGAACUUCAUAGGAGGGAGUGACACGGGUUUUAAGAAAAAAUAUUGUUAAGUGUAUUGAGAGUGGAUAAAAGGUAGUUGAGUGUAUUGGGAGUGGUGAAAAUGUGUUAUAGUUAAUAUUGAGAGUUGUGAAAAGUGAAAAGUAAGAGGAUUAUAAGUGGUGGGGUAUAGUCCAAAAAUAGGUAGGAAGUUCUUUUGUGGACGUCCCAAAAAGGAAAGAUAUGAAGUUCUUUCGUGGACGGAGGGAGUAUUAUUUUGCAGCAGCAACCACGUUUGAAAACUCGAUCCCUCUGUUCUUGAAUUUGUGAAAUUUCCGACUGAUUUAUUAGAUUCACCAUUUAUUUCAGUUUAAUUAGUCUAUAUAUAGAUAUUUCUUAUAUUAUUAAAUUGUUAACCUCAUGGUAGAUUUCAAGAUUUGAAAAUUCAACAAAGAGCUUGAGAAUUAUUGAGAUUGGAAGGGGAAGAUGAAACAUAAUUGGGUGAAAUUAGAAACCAAUUAAAGUCACAAGAUUGAACAAAAACAUAACUUAAAAACACAAAAUAAGCAAAUCGUAGAUGCAGUAUCUUGCAAGAAAAAGUUCAUAUUCCCAAGGCUAUGAUGAGCACGAAUUAGGGUGUGUCUGCAUUUUAUCCCUCUAAAUAGAGGAAUAACAAAAUUUUAUUCUUUAAAUGUUUGCUUUCUUAUCACACAUUCUACACAAACACCAUUUUUUCUUCCUUAUUUUCACUUCAAGGAGGANUAAUAUUAUCCCUCCAAUUUUGGUGUGAUAAUAUUAUCUCUUCUUGAAGUGAAAAUAAGGAAGAAAAAAUGGUAUUUGUGUAGGAUGUGGGAUAAGAAAGCAAACAUUUAAAGGUAUAAAUUUUUGUUAUUCCUCAUUUAGAGGAAUAAAAAGCAAACACACAUUAGAGUCUACUUACAAUUUAGGCGCAGGCUGUGCGAGAAUUACUUAGUCGAAUAGGAUCCUAAGUAUUUAUAUUUCUCAUGUUCUUGUGUAUUUUUUUACUGAUUCACUAUUGGAUUAACAAGAAUUAUCUUACUUUAAAUUUCUUGCUUUAAAAAAAAAAAAGAAUUAUCUUACUUCAUGUAUGGUAUGCCAACUGUUCGAUAAAGGUCCUUUUAGAAAUCUUCUAUUGAUUACCUUGCGAAGACCACAAAACUAGACACACCCAAAAGCAUUCUUGCAUAGUUUAUACAUAGAGAUGGCCGAUUGAUGAUCGUCUUAUUUGUAGACUUAACGCGAGCAGACUCGAUCGCUUAGUCCUUAUUGAUUUACGACACACAUGCUCACACACACACAUACACACAUCACAAAAUCACACAAAUUGACGGAUAAUGUUGCCGUUCAGCUCCUUCCUGAACCUCACCGCGGCAUUUUUCUGCACCAUAGUGGCCGUGAAAUACCACGAGACGAUGUCAUGGACGGCGACGUGUUGUCCGGUGGCGGCGGAUAGCCCGACCUGAACCUGCUGAGGAACAAAGUCGCUCAAAUCGUACUCAUAGUUGACAUCAAAUGUCUGCGAGCCGGCGGUGACUUUCACGGAGAUCAUCCUUGUGGCUCCGACGUAGUUGAUCCGCGCAGUCACCUGCUGCCCGAGUAUGGAGUUGUCGACCUUCGUCGUGUUGCUGGAUGCCCUAGAGCCGAAGUCGAUGCCGAUGUGGGGAUAGAGCGGAUCCCACGCGCCGUUGACGUAGGUGUCGAUUUCGACGGCGAAGACCGAGGGGCUGUUGCCGUUGGAGCCAAAGAUUCCGAGGUUGGCUCCGUUGGAGCCAGGGGGGAUGGUGGAACCGACGGGGGCAAUGAAGAAGGCGAGGCCGUCGGCAGGCUCGUUGUCGGCGCCCGGGGUGAUGAUGAAGUUCACAGUGGUUUCGAAGUCGACCUGCCCACCGGACUGCGAGAAUUGGACCGGGUUCGAGUGCAAGACGCGGCCGACUUGUGAGGGCUGUGCGUCUGUGAGGCGGAGGAAGGUGGAGUCCGUCGGGAAAUGGGCGCUGCCUUGAUAGAUGAGAUCUUUCGGCUGGUCGCCCCAGAAGUCGUAGGUGAAGGACGUCGUUUGGGACAACGCCGUGUUGGAAACGGCGAGGAGGAGGGCGAUGGAGGCGAGGAGAGGAGUUAAGGUUUGAACAAGCUGGUUGGCCAUGGCUUAAUUGAUUUAGAUUUAGAUUUAGAGAUGUGGUGGAUGAUGGUGGCCAGGUAUCGAUCUCUUGCACCUAUUUAUACUAGUAUGGUUCAUGCCUGUUAAUAAUUGUAUAUAUCAAUCAAUCAUCGUGCAUCUAUCCCAAAUUAUAUGUCUUAUUAUUCACUAAUUAGAUGGAAUAAAUCCUAAUUAGCAAUCUUAAAAUUACACCGCCAAUGAGGCCUUGCUCUAGUGGUAAAGCUGUGGCACCGAAUAACUUUUCUUUGUGAAAGGUCUUGGGUUCAAUCUCGCCUGCAUGCGGUGAUGUUUGUCCAUUUUAGAUGGUGUGGUAUUCUUGCCUGCGUGCGGUGUUGUAUUAUUUAGUCUUAGGCGUUCUUGCCUGUGUGCAUAUCACUGUGUGACAAUUAAAAGAAUGACUUUAAAAUAAAAGUUAAGCCUUAAAAAUUUAAUCUACAUUCAUAUAUAACUGAAAUUACAUGCAUGUCUAAUUUUUUUAAUAUCAUAACAAGAUAAGAUUUAUUAAAUAAUUCAGAUGCAUAAAUAAAAAGUUAAUCUAUAAACACAGUAUAGAUAUAUUAUCAAUGAUAGGCCGUGUAUAAGUCUUAAUCUGUAAAACUAUAUCAUCCCAGCCUUAAACGACUACCAUUCCUGCUUUCCCAGAGCAACCACACUGUUCCCACCCACAAAGCUUUAAGCAGUACAUGCAUGUCUAAAUAUUAUUUAUAAUUAUCAAUAACAAGAUUAAUGAUUCUAUAUCUCUAUGUUUAUACAUAUAUUCACGUAUGACAUAGUAUAUAUUAGCUAUUAAGUUAAAAACUAAUAAAAUACUACAGUUUUGCAUAGGAUAUAUAUUUAAUUAGUAGUAGGAUAGGACACGUGUAUUAAUUUUAAGGGCAAGUAAUCAAACUUUUGAAUGAUUCAUCAUGCUUAAAAAAAAAAAGAGACCUAGAUAGAUGAUUCAUCAGAUUCAAAAACAAGUAUAAAUAGACUUCGAGUUUGAAAUUUUAAUUAAUUUGCAACAACAAUUCAAACUGACUGUAUUAAGGUAAGUAGUUACAGAUUUCAUACACAUUAUAUGAUUUCGCGCACAUACGUAUGUAUAUAUAAAUAUUUUUUAAAAUCAUAUACUCCCUCCGUCCCCAAAAUAAGUUCCUCUUUGGGGACGGCACGGAUUUUAAGGAAAAGUGGUAAAGUGUAUUAAUAGUGGAGAAAAAUAUGUUAUAAUUAGUAUUGGAAGUUGUGAAAAGGUGAAAAAGUGUUAUAAUUAGUAUUGGGAGUGGUGAAAAAGUGAAAAGUAAGAAUAAAUAAAGUAUUAUUAGUGGUGGGGUAGUUGUCCAAAAAUGGAAAAAAAGAAAGAGGAACUUAUUUGGGGGACAUCCCAAAAUGGAAAAAGAGGAACUUAUUUCAGGGACGGAGGGAGUAUUAUAUAAUAAUUAUAUUUAAGUUUUAUAUUAUUCUUUAUAAACUAUUGUUCCAUUCUAUAUAAUUAGGUGUGGCACGACUAGGACGUAACUUUCGAUUGAAUUUCUCAAGUUAAUUUUCAAGUUCAAGUUUCAGGUGUGAGAUUUAUUUAAAUACAUGUCAUGAUUAUUCAUUGUCCAUUUUAAUAGUAUGUGUUUACCAUAUGUGUUAUGACGCAUAUUUUGAGGACAUCGCUAGGAGCCCAUAAAUAGGGUCCAGGACUUCACCGUCCUUGGAUUGCCACAAUGCGAUUUGAGGUUUAUUUUGAGGAUGUCGUCAGGGGCCCGUAAAUAGGGUCCAGGACUUUAAUAGUCAUUGGGUUGCCACAGUGCGAAUAUUGAAGAUAUAUAUGAAGUGACCGUAUGUGUUACCGUUUCAUUAACGUGGACAAUGAUUGCAUGUUUAAGAGACAAUAACCAAUUUUUCAGACAUUUGUGAACAAAAUGAAGCAUGUUUAGAGAUCCUUAAUAAAGGUGUACGAAAUGAUGGAUAAAUAAGUUUGUGAAACAAAUUUCACCAUACCUAACCCCACAAUUAUUUGCGGUCGAAUUUCCUCGUCACAGGAAAAAGAGAUGAUGACAAAAGGGCAAAAAUUAAUUAACAAAGUAGAAGAUGCAUGACAACUGUAAAAGAAAAAUAAUGCUACUAAUUAAAUAGUCCAAACUUCAUACGUUUCAUAUCAUAAGUGGCAGUUCUAUUUUUUUUUUGCGAAAGUGAACAAAAUAACGAAUAAUUUUUAAAGUAAUAGUAAUAAGGAGAUGUGUUUUGACAGAAAACGACAUGAGCGGCCUAAAAAUAAGAGGGAAAAAGAUAAUCAUAUAAAUAUGGGUUAAUUGCCUCUAAAUACACCACCUUUCCUUGAAUUCUACAAUUGCACAUCACCUUUAAAAUCCGCCCUUAAAUACACCACCUUUCCUUGAGUUCUACAAUUGCACAUCACCUUUAAAUCCGCCCCAAAAUACAUCAUCUUUAUAUUUUUUCUGUUUUUGCACAUGACUAAAAAAUUCUCAAGAAAUAAAUUAAAGUGUUAAUUUAUAAAUUUAAAUAUCUUUUUAGCAGCGAAAACAUAAUAAAAUAAAAUUCUUUAUAAAGUUUAAAAUCAUAUAUAUAUAUAUAUAUAUAUAAGUAUUUUCGUAAAGAAAUAAAUUCUCUAAUAAAUUUUUAGAAAGAACUUGAAUUAAAAAAAUAAACAAGUCAUGACAUUAAGAAAAUAAAAUGAAAUUUUUAUUUUAAUAAAUUUCACACGAAUUCGAUAUAAUUUGGAAUUUAGAGUUACAAUAAUCAGAAGUACCACAUGAAUAAUAUAAUGAGUUUGAAAGAAAUUUUUUUUAAAGAGGUUCGACACGCCCAUUCGACUUUCCACGCGCCUCCAAUGUCAUUUACCUGAAAUAUUAANUAUAUAAGUAUUUUUCGUAAAGAAAUAAAUUCUCUAAUAAAUUUUUAGAAAGAACUUGAUUAAAAAAUAAACAAGACAUGACAUUAAGAAAAUAAAAUGAAACUUUUAUUUUAAUAAAUUUCACACGAAUUCGAUAUAAUUUGGAAUUUAGAGUUACAAUAAUAAAAAGAACCACAUAAAUAAUAUAAUCAGUUUGAAAGAAAUAUAUAUAUAUUUUUUUAAAGAGGUUCGACGCGCCCAUUCGACUCUCCACGCGCUACCAAUGUCAUUACCUGAAAUACUAAAUAUGGGAUAAGCAUACAUAAUAUACUUAGUGUGGGAACAUGCAAUUAUUGUCCACGUUAAUAAAAUAGUAACACAUACGAUCAUAACAUUCAAAACGACACAAUUUUGCCAAUAUGGAAGCCACGUCAUUUAAAGUGGUAACACCCUAAUCUAACUAAAGUGUUAAAUAUAAAUUUAAAGCGGAAAUAUAAUAAAAUAAAGUUCUUUAUAAAAAUAAAUAAAGAAUUUUAUUUUAUUAUAUUUCCGCUGCUAAAAAAGAUAUUUAAAAUUUAUAAAUUAACACUUUAAUUUAUUUCUUGAGGAUUUUUAAGUCAUGUGCAAAAACAGAAAAAAAAUAUAAAGGUGAUGUAUUUUGGGGCGGAUUUAGAAUUCAAGGAAAUGUGGUGUAUUUAGGGGCGGAUUUUAAAGGUGAUGUGCAAUUGUAGAAUUCAAGGAAAGGUGGUGUAUUUAGGGGAAAUUAACCCUAUAAAUAUUCAAAAUCAAACGGAUUGGCAUGUAUUCAUCAUUUUUUAUUUUUUAUUUUGAUAAUUUAACAGUAUUAAAUAAAGAAAUUUAUAGGCUGCGUCCCUUACUGCUUGGCUUUUAGAUUAUGUUGUAAUAAUAAAAUUAAAAGCACGUUUACAAUAUAAAAUUAAUUAUGAUAAAUACAAUAUAUUAAUAAUAAAUACUCAAUUACCUCUUAACAUAAUUCGCGCAUCAUGGCUUUUAGCUUAUAUUAUAAAGAUAUAAUAUGUUGUCUAUAAUAAUCGACGGAAGGUAAUAGACAACAUGUUUUACUUCUUGUCUAUAAUAAUAUAGACAGUAGAUCUAGUGUUAUAGAUAACAAUUAAUACGUGUUGUCUAUAUGAUGAUAGACACCAAAAAUCUCUGUUGUCUAUUCUAUGACAAAAAAAUUUAAAAAAAUUCUAAUAUAUUUACAUCCCUGUAUUACAAUACCAAUAUAUAUGAAAAAAUAAAAAUAAUUAAAAAUCAAAUAAUCAAACAAUACUUAUAAACCACUAAUACUCACAAUCAAAUAUUUACACAUCAACAAUUGUAUUAUCUUUAAUUACGCCUUCAUUUAUCUACUAAAAAAAAUCUCUAAUAAAAUCUCUAACUAACUCCGGUCAUCAUCUCUUGAAGGCUUAGAAAAUGUCCAAAUACAGCGGCACAUGCUCAUUAUUGUGUGAGCGAUGAGAACUUUGCGCUGAACCUAUAAAGUAACUAUACUUAACUGGUAAAGUAAUUGUAUCCCGUGAAUCUAAAGGAAGAAUAAACACGUUGAUAGAGUUUGAAAGAAAAGAAUAAAGAGAAUGAAAAUCCAAAGAAUUUGCUUCUUCCGUUGAACAAUCCCUACACAACGUUGAAAUAUCAAUGAAAACAAUGGCUAUCCUAUACUCCCUCCAUCCAUGAAAGAACUUCCUAGGAGGGAGUGACACGGGUUUUAAGAAAAAAUAUUGUUAAGUGUAUUGAGAGUGGAUAAAAGGUAGUUGAGUGUAUUGGGAGUGGUGAAAAUGUGUUAUAGUUAAUAUUGAGAGUUGUGAAAAGUGAAAAGUAAGAGGAUUAUAAGUGGUGGGGUAUAGUCCAAAAAUAGGUAGGAAGUUCUUUUGUGGACGUCCCAAAAAGGAAAGAUAUGAAGUUCUUUCGUGGACGGAGGGAGUAUUAUUUUGCAGCAGCAACCACGUUUAAAAACUCGAUCCCUCUAUUCUUGAAUUUGUGAAAUUUCCGACUGAUUUAUUAGAUUCACCAUUUAUUUCAGUUUAAUUAGUCUAUAUAUAGAUAUUUCUUAUAUUAUUAAAUUGUUAACCUCAUGGUAGAUUUCAAGAUUUGAAAAUUCAACAAAGAGCUUGAGAAUUAUAGAGAUUGGAAGGGGAAGAUGAAACAUAGUUGGGUGAAAUUAGAAACCAAUUAAAGUCAGGAGAUUGAAGAAAAACAUAACUUAAAAACACAAAAUAAGCAAAUCGUAGAUGCAGUAUCUUGCAAGAAAAAGUUCAUAUUCCCAAGGCUAUGAUGAGCACGAAUUAGGGUGUGUCUGCAUUUUAUCCCUCUAAAUGGAGGAAUAAUAAAAUUUUAUGCCUUUAAAUGUUUGCUUUCUUAUCACACAUUCUAAACAAACACCAUUUUUUCUUCCUUAUUUUCACUUCAAUGAGGGAUAAUAUUAUCCCUCCAAUUUUGGUGUGAUAAUAUUAUCCCUCCUACAAGUGAAAAUAAGGAAGAAAAAAUGGUACUCCCUUCGUCCCAAACGAAAUGUCCUGUUUUCCUUUUUGGGCUGUCCCAAACGAAAUGUCCUGUUUCCUUUUUUGGCAAUACACUCUCUCUCUAUACUUAAUAUUUAAAUAAUUUUCACCAACCCACUUUAUCUACUUUAUACACAUUUCUUAAUCUCCGUGCCGAAAAGAAAUGGGACAUUUCGUUUGGGACGGAGGGAGUAUUUGUGUAGGAUGUGGGAUAAGAAAACAAACAUUUAAAGACAUAAAUUUUUGUUAUUCCUCCAUUUAGAGGGAUAAAAAGCAAACACACCUUAGAGUCUAAUUACAAUUUAGGCGCAGGCUGUGUGAGAAUUACUUAGUCGAAUAGGAUCCUUAGUAUUUAUAUUUCUCAUGUUCUUGUGUAUUUUUUCACUGAUUCACUAUUGGAUUAACAAGAAUUAUCUUACUUUAAAAAAAAAAAAGAAAUGAUCUUACUUCAUGUAUGGUAUGCCAACUGUUCGAUAAAGGUCCUUUUAGAAAUAUUCCAUAGAUUACCUUGCAAAGACCACAAAACUAGACACACCCUGCAUAGUUUAUACAUAGGGAUGGCCGAUUGAUGAUCGUCUUAUUUGUAGACUUAACGAGAGCAGACUCGAUCGCUUAGUCCUUACUGAUUUACGACACACAUGCACACAUACACAGAUACACACAUCACAAAAUCACGCAAAUUGACGGAUAAUGUUGCCGGCCAGCUCCUUCCUGCUCCACGCCACGGCAUUUUUCUGCACCAUGGUGGCCGUGAAAUACCACGAGACGAUGUCAUGGGUGGCGACGUGUUGUCCGGUGGCGGCGGAUAGCCCGACCUGAACCUCCUGAGCAACAAAGUAGCUCAAAUCGUACUCAUAGCUGACAUCAAACGUCUGAUUGCCGGCGGUGACUUUGACGGAGAUCAUCCUUGUGGCUCCGACGUAGUUGAUCCGCGCAGUUACCUGCUGCUUGAGUAUGGAGCUGUCGACCGGCGUCGUCUUGCUGGAUACCCUAGAGCCGAAGUCGAUGCCGAUGUGGGGAUAGAGCGGAUCCCACGCGCCGUUGACGUAGGUGUCGAUUUCAACGGCGAAGACCCCGGGGCUGUUGCCGUUGGAGCCAAAGAUUCCGAGAUUGGCUCCGUCGGAGCCAGGGGGGAUGGUGGAGUCGACGGGGGCAAUGAAGAAGGCGAGGCCGUCGGCAGGCUCGUUGUCGGCGCCGGGGGUGAUGAUGAAGUUCACGGUGGUUUCGAAGUCGACCUGCCCAUUGGACAUCCAGAAUUGGACCGGUUCCGAGUACAUGACGCGGCCGACUUGGGACGGUUGUGCGUCUGUGAGGCGGAGGAAGGUGGAGUCCGUCGGGAAAUGGGCGUUGCCUUGAUAGAUGAGAUCUUUCGGCUGGUCGCCCCAGAAGUCGAAGGUGAACGACGUCGUUUGGGACAACGCCGUGUUGGAAACGGCGAGGAGGAGGGCGAUGGAGGCGAGGAGAGGAGUUAAGUUGGCCAUGGCUUAAUAGAUUUAGAUUUAGAGAUGUGGUGGAUGAUGGUGGUAUCGAUCUGUUGCACCUAUUUAUACUAGUAUGGUUCAUGCCUGAUAAUAAUUGUAUCAAUCAAUCAUCGUGCAUCUAUCCCAAAUUAUAUGUCUUAUUAUUCACUAAUUAGAUGGAAUAAAUCCUAAUUUGCAAUCUUAAAAUUAAACCGCCAAUGAGGCCUUGCUCUAGUAGCAAAGCUGUGGCACCCAAUAACUUUUCUUUGUGAAAGGUCUUGGGUUCAAUCUCGCCUGCAUGCGGUGAUGUUUGCCCACUUUAGGUGGUGUGGUAUUCUCGCCUGCGUGCGGUGUUAUAUUGUUUAGUGUUAAGGUCCCACAUGCAGGGCGUUCUUGCAUGUGUGCGUGUCACAACCCAAAACCAUUUAUUUUCUUUACAAAUUUUAUAUGAAAAUUAUUUGAUUUUUAAGUUAUAGAGUUUUCGAUAUAUAUACAUAUAGUGUCAAUUUUAUGUUAACUUAGUCGUGUCCCUAAUUAAAAGAAUGAAUUUGAAAUAAAAGUUAAGCCUUAAAAAUUUAAUCUACAUUCAUAUAUAACUGAAAUUACAUGCAUGUCUAAAUAUUAUUUAUAAUUAUCAAUAACGGGAUUAAUGAUUCUAUAUCUCUAUGUUUAUACAUAUAUUCACGUAUGACAUAGUAUAUAUUAGCUAUUAAGUUAAAUAAAAUACUACAGUUUUGCAUAGGAUAUAUAUUUAAUUAGUAGUAGGAUAGGACACGUGUAUUAAUUUUAAGGGCAAGUAAUCAAACUUUUGAAUGAUUCAUCAUGCUUAAAAAAAAGAGACCUAGAUAGAUGAUUCAUCAGAUUCAAAAACAAGUAUAAAUAGACUUCGAGUUUGAAAUUUUAAUUAAUUUGCAACAACCAUUCAAACUGACUGUAUUAAGGUAAGUAGUUACAGAUUUCAUACACAUUAUAUGAUUUCGCGCACAUACGUAUGUAUAUAUAAAUAUUUUUUAAAAUCAUAUAUUAUAUAAUAAUUAUAUUUAAGUUUUAUAUUAUUCUUUAUAAACUAUUGUUCCAUUCUAUAUAAUUAGGUGUGGCAUGACUAGGACGUAACUUUCGAUUGAAUUUCUCAAGUUAAUCUUCAAGUUCAAGUUUCAGGUGUGGGAUUUAUUUAAAUACAUGUCGUGGUUAUUUAUUAUCCAUUUUAAUAAUAUGUGUUUACCAUAUGUGUUAUGAUGCAUAUUUUGAGGAUAUCGCUAGGGGCCCAUAAAUAGGGUCCAGGACUUCACCGUCCUUGGAUUGCCACAAUGCAAUUUGAGGUUUAUUUUGAGGAUGUCGUCAGGGAUCCGUAAAUAGGGUCCAGGACUUUAAUAGUCCUUGGGUUGCCACAGUGCGAAUAUAUUGAGGAUAUAUAUGAAGUGACCGUAUGUGUUACCGUUUCAUUAACGUGGACAAUGAUUGCUUGUUCUCACACUGAGUGUACUCUGUAUGCUCAUCCCAUAUUUAACGUGGAAGGUCGAUUGACGAAUCAAAUAUUUUGUAUUUAGCUUUACCUAAAUAUGUUAUUUUGAGUAAAGUAUUUUAAAUAAAAAUUUAUUUCAUAAUUUUCUCAUUAAAUAUUUAUUUAUAUUCAUAGCUUUUCCGCACAAAUAUUUAUUUAAAUUUUAAUUAGAUUUGGGUGUCACUGUGCGGUGAUGUUUUUCCACCGUUUCGGUGGUGGUGAGGCCCCACCUGCGUGCACGUUAUAUACUUGAUUAUAUUCAGAUACCUCUUGUAAUUUUUAAAAAAAUAAUCAUAAAAUUAAACCAAAGCAUAUAAAAUUGAAAUUGGCCAAAAAAAUAUAUAAAAAUAAAUAAAAUUAAAAAUGGGAUAUAAAGUGAGACAUUAAAUGUGGUACACUACUGAAUCUCAAUCCAACACGUGGAUGCUACAUUGUACUUGUCGGAAUAUUAGAACUUCUACAAAAUAUUGCUAUUGGAAACGUGAAAUUUUAUUAUGAGAAAACUUAUACCUGACCCCACAGUCGUGGGCACGUGUUAUGUUGCGCGGAAAUUAAAGUGGUGGGGACCGUAAAUGGUAUUUUAGUCUUUUAAUUUAUUUUAGUAUACAAAAGAGUUAAUUUUAAAGAGGCGCUAAAAAACACAUCACUUUUAAAAAUUGGUAUUUAAAAUCUUGAACCCCUUUUAUUAUUUUAGAAAGAUAUUAAUUAAUUGAUAAAUUAAUAAAUUAUUAAUUGAAACAAUUAUUUUAAGCAAAUUUAAUUAUAAUUACCUAAAAAUUUAAAAAACAUAAAUUCAAUACCAUUCAAAUUCAACAAACUAACUUAAAUUUUUACUUUAAAAAAUCUUCAUCAAUCUUGCAAUCUCGGCUUGGACUAUAAAUGUUCAACAAGAGACAAUAACCAAUUUUUCAGACAUUUGUGAACAAAAUGAAGCAUGUUUAGAGAUCCUUAAUAAAGGUGUACGAAAUGAUGGAUAAAUAAGUUUGUGAAAAUUUCACCAUACCUAACCCCACAAUUAUUUGCGAUCGAAUAUCCUCGUCACAGGAAAAAGAGAUGAUGACAAAAGGGAAAAAAAAAUUAACAAAGUAGAAGAUGCAUGACAACUGUCAAGAUAAAUAAUGUUACUAAUUAAAUAAUCCAAACUUUAUACGUUUCAUAUCAUAAGUGGCAGUUCUAUAUUUUUUGCGAAAGUGAACAAAAUAACGAAUAAUUUUUAAAGUAAUAGUAAAAGGAGAUGUGUUUUGACAGAAAACGACAUGAGCGGCCUAAAAAUAAGAGGGAAAAAGAUAAUCAUAUAAAUAUUCAAAAUCAAACGGAUUGGCAUGUAUUCAUCAUUUUUUAUUUUAAUAAUUUAACAGUAUUAAAUCAAGAAAUUUAAAGACCGCGCCCCUUACUGCUUGGCUUUAAGAUUAUGUUACAAUAAUAAAAUUAACAGCACGUUUACAAUAUAAAAUUAAUUAUGAUAAAUGCAAUAUAUUAAUAAUAAAUACUCAAUUACCUCUUAACAUAAUUCGCGCAUCAUGGCUUUUAGCUUAUGUUAUAAAGAUGGAGUAUAAAAUAAUCAUCACCUGUGCAUGAUAUUUCACAAAAUAAUUAAAUAAUAAAAUAAUCAAUCAUAAUGCCAAGACGUGACUCUUGUCGGUCAUAUCUCAUCAACUUUAUCUAUAUAGUACAAUGAUGAUUAAUUUGAGAACGACGAUUAAGACACCAACUAUUCUUGUGGGGACACAUGCAUAUAUAGAAUUAAUAUUAUAAACUCUCUCGGUCCACGAAAUAACUUACUAUUUUUUCUUUUAAGAACGUGAACAAAAAAAAUUCCCAUCGAUAUUUCGGAACUAUACCCCACUACUUUAAAAUACCUCAUUUUACCCUUUCUUUUUCACAAAAACAACAAAUUACUAAUAAUUUUUCACUAUUCCUAAUAUACUGAACAAUUUUUCUCCACUCUCAAAUUUUGUAGCACCGAAUAAAAUUAAAUACUAGUAUUAUUUUUUGUAGAACUAUAAAUAAAUAUUAUUCUCAAAACAUGUACUAUUACUUACUAUUUUUUUUAAAUGUGGGACGACCAAAAAAGGAAAGAUGAAUUCUAAAAGCUGGGACAGAGGAUAUAUUAUUUUUCUUCUUGGUUCUGAAGUAUGAAUAUUAAUUAACAAUUCUUCGUCCACAUCAAGCUCACCUUCACGUAAUUUUUUCUUGAACAACACCGAAAAAUAUAUAAUCCCAACAUAGCAUGAUCAAUCUCAAUGCACCAAACAUAAAUUAGUUUUAAAAUAAUAAUAAGAUUAACUACUAUAUUGCUGAAUUAUGCAGUAGAAUUAAAAGCGUGAUUUUUUUUUAAUAGAGCAGGUUAAUCUAGGCCUACCUGAACCAUCUGACUAUGCAUGAGUUUGAUUUUUCUUCUUGAUCUUUUUUAAUUUUACCGACAAAGAAGAUUUUCACAAAUGAAAAGAAAACGUUCUAGUAACAUACUACAUGCUUACUUCAGAUUUGCAACCAAGUCUAUUGAGGGUUUUAUUUGCUACAUAUAUAAACACAAGGAUUUGGUUUGAUACAAAUUAAGAAUAUUCAACUUUCAUCGGCUCAAGCACAUAGAAUCUCCCCGAGUAGUUAUAACUGGUCAAUGUUUUUGCCGAUAAAAAGGAAAAGGAAAGAAAAAAGAAAGAAGCAAGACGGAGAAAAAGUUGUAGUAAAUGAUUAUGCGAUGAAAAGAAAAUGGAAAAGAGAAAGAAAGAAGAAAGUUGUAGGAAUUUUGAAGAAUUUGUACUUAUUUAGAAUUGUGGUUAUUGUGGGAUCUUGUAUAAUAAUAAUAAUAAUAAUAAUAAUAAUAAUAAUAAUUAUUGGGCCGUUCCACGAAUCUUGGCACAUUUUCAAAUAAGGUAAUAAUUCAUUCUCUCUCUUACUUUAUCACUUUAAUACUUUAUUAACUACAAACUUAAAACACUAAUAUACAAUUCCUUAAUUCCCGUGUCGAAACCAAACGUGUCAAGAUUCGUUGGAUGGAGGGAGUAAUAAUAAUAAUAAUAAUAAUAGUAAUAAUAAUAAUAAUAAUAAUAAUAAUACAUCAUUGCCCUUUAAAAAGUUUUAAAAUAGGAACAUAAUAUGUAAAUCUAAUUUUGUAAAAGAAGCUCUUCUAUAGUAAUAGUUAUAGAUUUGGUGUGGAGGCAUUUGUUUGAGAAUGGGUAAAACAUACCAUUAACCCUUUGAUAUAUGCACGAGACACUUAUUUGUGGAUAGGACAAGAAUUAUUUUGUUGCAUAGGAUCCCUUCCAAAUGUAAUUACUGAUUCACAAUUGGAUUAACAAGAAUUAACUUACUUCAUAUUCAGUAUUCCAACUGUUCGAUAAAAGUUCUUAAUGAAAUCUUCCAUAGAUUACCCAAAUGCAUUGUUUUGCAUAGUCCGUACAUUGAGAUGGUCGAGUAUCUUAUGUCUAGACUUAACGAGAGCAGACUCGAUCGCUUAGUCCUUAUUUAUUUACGACACACACACAUCUCAAAAUCACACAAAUUGACGAAUAAUGUUGCCAGCCAGCUCCUUCCUGUUCCACGCGCCAGCAUUUGUCUUCACCAUGGUGGCUGUGAAAUACCAUGAGAUAAUAUCAUGUUUGGCGACGUAUGGUUGGUUUAGUCCGCUGGCGGCGGAGAGCCCUACCUGAACCUGCUCAGGAAGAAACUCGCCCAAAUUGUACACAUGGCUGACCUCAAACGUCUUCGAGCCGGCGGUGGCACUGACGGUGAUCAUCUUCGUGGCUCCGACGUAGUUGAUCCGCGCAGUCACCUGCUGUCCGACUAUGGCGUCUCCGACAUUCGUCGUGUUGCUGGAUUCCCUAGAUCCGAGGUCGAUGCCGAUGUGGGGAUAGUUCGGAUCCCACGGGCUGUUGAUGAAGGUGUCGAACUCGACGGCGAAGACCGAGGGGCUAUUGCCGUUGGAGCCGAAAAUUCCGAGGUUGGCCCCAACAGCGCCACUGGGGAUGGUGGAGCCGACGGGGGCAAUGAAGAAAGCGAGGCCGUCAGCGGUUUUGCCAUCGGGGCUGGGUGUGAUGAUGAAGUUAAUGGUGGUUUCAAAGUCGACUUGGCCACCGGAUUGGGAGAACUGGACCGGCUUCGAGUACAAGACCCGGCCGACCUGGUAUGUCUCGAAGUCGGUGAGGCGGAGGAAGGUGGAGUCCGAUGGGAAAUGGGCGUGGCCUUGGUAGGUGAGAUCGGUCGGCUGGUCGCCCCAGAAGUCGUAGGUGAAGGACGUUGUUUGGGACCACACCGUGUUGGCAGCGGCGGCAAGGAGAAGGGCGAUGGAGAUUAGGGUUUGUUGAAGGUUGGCCAUCGCUUAAUUGAUUUGGAUGUGGUGGAUGAUGGUGGUAUCUUUAUCUUGCUUCUAUUUAUAGUAGUAUAACGAGCCCUAGUUAAUUAUCUUUAAAUCAUACUAAAAUAUCAUAAAUUAAAAUUGAAGAAAAAAAAGUUAAAACCUACUCUCGCAGUCCCUCAAAUAACUUCUUAGGAGAAGAGGGGUAGGAGUUUUAAGACGAAGUUAAUGUGCAAAGUAAGGAUAAA
rnacentral:lncRNA from 1 species